rnacentral:lncRNA from 1 species
UUGUGAAUUAGAUAGCCCAUCACAUUCAGAGCACUUUGAUAAAAUCAUGGGAUUUGAAAUGGUUGUAGGUAAAGAUGAGCUUACAGUUGCCAUGGAUUUACACUUGGGAGGAAUGUGGAAGGAUGAUGCAUGAGUGGUGAUAGUUACCUAAUUGGAUUUUCAUGAGUAGCUUUACUCACUUUAUUUUCCAAUACUUGUACUUGACAAUCAGUGACAAUUAGUGCUAGUUUGCUUUUUUGGUCCCCUAAAUUAACACCUCUCUCCUUCUCUUUUUAUCUUUUUCCUCUUUUUUCUUCGUAAUGGUACUAAAAUAAACAGUGCUUAUAAUGAAAGAUAAAUAAUUUAAAUUUGCGACAUUUUUCAAUAUUUAAACGAGAAAUACUAAACCAAAAGCUAAGCUAAUUGGUACAUAAAACACGCAUUUUUUUAAAACUUGAUCCAACGUCAAUUAAUGGAGUGGUGAUACUCGCGCGUUGAGAUACUCUCUCAAUUUCUGGAAGGGUGCCCUUCAGAAUCACACGUGGCCCAUCUAUGUGCCUCUUUGCAACCAAAACCCACGUGAUCUAACUGCCCUUCACAAUUCACAGAGCACUCACCCAAAGGGGGCAGUAGAGCUGUCACCGGCGUACCAAUGACUGUGCCAGUGCCACACAUGCCAAAUGCUGGCGCAUUGACGGAGUUUGUUUGCCCAUGACCGCUGACCGGACCCAAAUUUUCCAACUUCACAGAAAGGUUCACAAUCCCAUUGGUCCUGGAACCGUCUCUAGCCCGUAGCCGGUAACUCAAGUACCGUGCUGAACCGGCCGGCGGAAACCCAAUAUCUUGAGCAGAGAUUUGGCACCAGCCCAACUGGGUCCGGCCCAUUAUGAGCCGCUUGCUGUAAAGCUGCAGAUAUAUGCAAGAGUACCUGUUUGUGAAGAAACUUGUGUCCACAGGGACAUGAAAUUUGUCACCCCAUGUAGGGUUGAUACCUCCUUCAUCAUCCACCCCUGUGCUGUACACGUGGCACUUGUGAUCACCGUUGGUGGUGGUGAGGGUAAUGAAGGUUCUGAUCUUGUUUGAGAACGUAGUAGGGGAGGUGGUUUUGAGGCCUUGGGCUGAUAUCACUGUGAUCUCCAUCUUCAUCAGUGGCUAGUGAUUGUACUCCUUCAACAUGAUGUUAUUGAACUUGGCUUGGAGUUGAUUGGUCUAAUUAUAUACAUAUAUAUAUAUAUAUGAGUUUGUAUAUAUAUACAUAUAUACAUAUAUAAUAUAUGUGAAAGUGUGUAGCAAUAAUAGGAAAUUAAAUAUGAGAGAGAGAGAGAGAGAGAGAGGGUUCUUGGGAGCUUCAAAGGGGGUUAAUUACAGUGCAGUUUCCUUGUGGAAUAAAAAUGGAGAAUUUUGGAAAUGGAAUUUUGAAAGGGUGGAUGAUGCAGCUUUAUAUGACUCAUACACUCAAAAAAGCAAUGGAAUUUUCCCGCUUGCCAAGUCAACUAGAUAGACGGUUUUUGUGUUUUGAUGUUUUUCCCCUACCCAUAUGCCCGUCAGUCACUAAACAAAGUGUGCCAAUCAUUUUUAAUGUUUCUCUCGAAAGCAAUAGAGCCUAAGCUUCGCCACUUCUUGAUGAUCCGGAUCGUCUGUUUGAAUUUUCCCACUCAUUAUAUGUUUGUCUUUUAUUCUCGAUUACAAAUGAUUGUAAAUAUUUAAAAGUAAUUUAUGAUUUGCGAUAAUUCAUUUUUAUAGGUUGUUUAUUGUUAAUUAUUUUGUUUUUCUAUCAAAAAUAAAAUUAUACUAAUAUUAAUUUCUUGUAUAGAUAGUUGCUCAAACCUUGCAUUUAAUGUGGGGUCCAAAUAGUUGUCAAGUAGCAAAAGCCAGCUUCUUUCCUUGAUUUAUUUUUCCACCAAGUUGUCAUGCAGCAUACUGCGGAUGCACAUGUCGUUUUGUUAUAAAAUUUUCUUUAAUUUGCAAAUUGCAAGUGCCGUCUUUGGUCGUCUGCAUGAAUAUUUUUCCAUGCAAAUUAAUUUGCAGAGCAAUUUCAUGGUAGAAGUCUGGCAAAUGCGUAAACACAUGGGCGUCAAGAGGAAUUGAAGUCAACCCAAUUUUGCUGAUCACAUGCAUACAAAUUCCACUAAGCUUUUCAUAAUAUUAAUAGGUCAUGUUAGUGGUCGGCACAAAUAUACGAAAAACAACAACUAGAUAUUGCCAAAAGCAAACAAGGCAAAAAACAGUUUUGCCACUUUACUUUAUAGAUUGGUCCCAGCCCAGCUGCAGCAAAGCAUGUGUAGCUGAGGUGAGGGUUCACAUUAACAUUAUGUUCUUGGCAGAUUGUGUCGACUUUAGGGACCGAAAGUGAAGCACUUGUUGACUCACCACAAGAUCGGGAUAUUCAUUUACUUCUCAAUUUUCCAAAUUUUUGUUCUUUUUUUGUGUGCGUAUAUAUAUGUAUAAAGAAAAACAAUUAAUUAGGGAAAAUUUAAAUAUAUUGCAGUCGAUCGACAAAUUUAAUACUUGUAUUUGGUUUAUUAAUUUUCCGUUGUCUUUUAUUUUUUUCAUAUUUUAAUAGCUUAUGUUAACAUUGAAUAUUGGGAUCCUUAGAGAAUCUUGCUUGUAAUUAUAUUUGUUGUAAGUCUAGAUUGACUCUCAAUAAUUUCAUAAGGACAUUGCAAUAGACAAAAUUCAUAGAAUAACGAGUCAAUUUGUUACGUAUCAAUGAACCAUGAGGAAAGUUGAGUGGUCACAUGGCAAACAGAAAAUGAAAUAUACAGUGAGAUUAUAUAACAAACUACAUUUAUCUGAAUAGAGAUGAUUGGUUUCGAGUUGUUUUAGUCUCUGUGUGGAGGAGCUUUGUUUUUGGUUGGGUGAUGGGCCUCUUUGGCUUUUAGAUGGUGUUGGGGAGGAUUGGUCUUGAGUGGUUUGAUUUACUUGUAGUAGGUAUUUCACUCUUCUGAUUAGUCAUUAGUAUGAGAAGUACUUUAUACUCUGGGAUUUUAUUCCAUGUAGUUUUUUCCAAGAAGAUUUUAACGAGGCCACCGUUAACAUGCUCAUUUUUAUCAUGUAAUGUUCGGUUUGAGUGGUCACAUUGAUAAACAGAAAACAAAAUUUACAGUGAGAUUAUAUAACACAAACUACAUUUAUCUGGACCCAAAACUCUCUGUUUCAAUCCAUAAAAGUAAAAUUUGAGAACUAGUAGUAGAAAGGGCAAGGACAUCCAACUCAUAAAUUCCAUUCAAUCCAAAACCUGGAGUUAGAGUGCUAAAAUUUAGGAGACAUUUUGUAAUGCUUGUCGAUAAAUUAUAUGCAAUUGGGCUUAUAUCCAAAGUAGUUCGAUGCCUCGACAGAGAAAGCUGCAGAAUCACUAUUCAAGAACAAAGUCCUAUUUCCCCAAGGUCCUUGGCUCUGAAUCCGACCAAUUGCCAUAACUUAAUGGCACCUCAAAAUAUCUAAACCUAGUUUUUGUCGUAAACCUGUUCUCUCGUUUACUCCAUGAACUAGACAAAAUGGAAGAAAUGUAAUUAAAAAAAAAGCUAAAAGCCUCGUUUGUGCGUGUUUAGGGUCUUCAAUGUCACAAACCAAAACAUUCCCUUUCAAGUCCAGGGCAUAAAAUUGUCCCAUUGAAUGUCACAUACCUUUUGACAACGUCGUUGUUGAUGGGGAUCAAAAGUAAGAAAAGCUACCAUGGAAACUUUCUUUUUUGUGGCCCAAAAGGCUAGAAGAACCCUUAGUCGGCCCAUUUCUGUAGGCAUGCAUGCAUGGUCCAUAAAUUUCAAUUGAUAAUUUGGGACCGCGAAUGUGGGUUUGAUGAGUUGUAUGUGUGCUUGCUCGCCCAUUUAUACCCGAGUUCAAUUCUCUUCCAUCUCUAGUGUCGAAUAAACAUAAACCCCGGGGGGGAUUGCCAGGCACACCAUGAACAGUGUUUAUAAGAGGUUUUAGAGACUGUUCCAACAGUAUUUCUUCUAGCCAUCAUCCAACUUGUGUGAGUUUCUUUAGAAUAAUAAUGAAUGUAACGCAUCCAAGUGGCUUAACAUGGCUGUUUACUAAGAUGAAAAAUUGCUCAAAAUCCCUUAACGGGUCUUUUGCAAUUUUAGGCCCAAACAAUUAUCCUUACGGAUAACGAACCUGACAUGAUAGGUCCAUUGUCAAUUCUCAAUCAACCAUGAGCAUAGACGAUGGAUGACUCAAAUUGCCAAGCGAGACCGAAUUACGUGAUUUUUUGUUUUACAAAGCGGCAUUCUAGAUUAUACAAAGAAGGGAUCGAACUCAGAUGCAAAGAACGGACAACACUGAUUGGACACUAGCAAAAUGAAAAUGAACGAAAUCAUGCUAAUCUUGAAAUUAGCUAAAUUAUCACUAACAUACAUUCACCACAUUAGUCAAAUGUGGCGUGUUUCUGUUUGUCCGUCUGCUUUUGAAACAACAAACAACAAUUCAUGGAUAAAAUUUUGAAGGAAUUAAUUUAUACAAGCGGGCUCACAAUUUUGACUGUUCCCGCCCAACUCUUCUGGCGCUUCAUGGAUCAAGGAAAAAUUUCAUCCGCGCCCAAACUACGACGCACGCACGGCGUCGUUUCGCAGUUUCCAGAACACACUAGAAAAUCUGAUCCUUUCUUUCCAUAAACGACGUGACGCUAUCAGUCAUUUGACUCGCACGUGCGCACUUUUCUCCUCGUGCGGUGCUGUCCACUCUUCCAUUAUCCGGAAAAACAAAUCAUAAUCACCAUCGUCAUCCAAUCAAGUCCGUCACUUUCCGAGCUCCAGCCACGUGGAGUCCUGAUCGCGCUUCGAACUCCCAUCUGACGGCUCUGAUUUCAUCGCCUCAGACCCUUCCCGAUGCUGCUCCUCUUCCUCCUCGUCUCUCCGCACGCGCUUCACCCCAAUGGACACCCCAAAUAGCCUCGGCCUCGUCUCCUCCUCCUCGUCUUCCUCUUCCUCCGCCGAAGCCUCCGCCUUAGACCCCUCGCGAACGACACCAUUUUCAGACGGCUCAGCCUCCUGCACCGGCGACAGCUCCAGAGGCUUACCCUCAUCCAUUACACUCCCACCGCCACCGCCGCCGCCCUCCAACUGACCAGAAGCGUAGUUCGUCAUCAAAGCCAAUAUAUUGUUGCACAAGCCGCGCAGCUGAGUCAGCUCGUGACUUAGCUGCAUGUUCUCUUUCCUGAGCCGCUCGUUCUCUUCCAGAACGUCCGACGUGGUGGUGCAGCUCCGGAUUCGGCUCAACAUCGUAGCCGGAGGCGCCACCGGCGACGAGUUCGACGAGAUCACUUGCUCGUCGCCGGAGUUCGACGGAGAUACCCCGGGAGCCACCACAGAUACCGUCGCCAACGUAGCGGUAAUCGCCGCAGGCGACGCCGACACCGACGGCGAGAUUUUCCGGCGCUGAAUCUCCCGUAGGAGGCCUUUCUCACCUCUUUUGAAGCAAUCGUUCGCGAACUCCCACCGAUCCGGCACAACUUUCCGAAAUCCCUGCAAGUACAAUAGAAAUCGAUUAGAAAAUAGAAUAUUUACGUGCUUAAGUUUGUUUGGCUGCCGAGAAAGAGGAGGAAAGUGAGGGAAACAGAGAGGGCUUACGUAAGUGUUGAGCUGGCGGACGAAGCUGGAGAAGUUGUUAUGCUUGAAAUACUUGGGGAGCAAAUCUCUGGCGAAUUCGGCGGGUCGCCAGACUAUGAAGGCCGAUCCGUCUUCGCUCCACGAGAUCAAAUCGUCGACGGACGGAUCGUCCACCAGCUGAUACGUUUUGGUCAAAAACGGCGUCGGAAGCGUCCUUUGUGAGUCUCCACCUCCUCCAGCGCCGUUAACCGGGCCGGAGUCGCCGUUCUGGUCGGCCUGCAACGACGCCAUGGCCUCUAGGCCUUCGGCUUCUCAGAUCCGAGCUCUAAUAGCAACUGAUUUAUCAAAUAAGUAACUGUUGUUCAAUAUAACAAAUAAAUUAAAAUUAUUUAACGUUUCAAUUGGUUGCAGAGAAACCGUGGAGCAAUUAAAAAUAAAUAAAAAUUGAAGAAAGGAAAAUUCUGGAGGAAUUAAUUGAUUUAAUUUCAUGUAUGAAAUGUCUAGCAGCUUCAGAAAAAAAAAUUUUAAUUAAUUAAAUUAAAGGAAACGUAUGUACCUGGAAAGUGAGGCUUUGGGAUGAACAAAGUGUAGGGAUUUUCCCACCAACCAAACGGAAAACUGGAAAAGAAAGUUCGUUUCCUACACGAAAGCUAACUCUAUCUAGAACAGUGCUUGGGCUGUUGCACCAAGGCUUAACCAGAAGAAGCCGCAGCAGCUCCGAGAGAGAGAGAGAGAGGCGGGGAGAACUUCCCUGCUCUUUUUGUUGUUUCUAGAAGGUUCUGGGGUGCGUGGAGUAAAUGAUAGGAGCAAGACGGAAAAAGGGUAUUCGUGGGUUCGAGAAGGAAAGAGAGAAAGUAAUUGUUUUAUUUUUUUAAGGAAAAGGAGAUUGGAAAAGGGCAAAAACUGUGGGGGCCCACGGACAAGAGGGAGUGAUUAAACAACGGAUAGGAAGGCGCGAGAAGUAGGGGCUAAGAGAGAGAAUUAGUAGGUUUUUCUUCUAACGUCUUUUCCAGAAGCUUCUCCCAUUCUUUCAUUUUCUAUUAUUUUAUUAUUAUUUUUUGCCCAAUUUACGUUUUGUUCCCCGUAACUUGUUUAGUUUUUCAGGUUGGUCCCUGUUUUCUUUAUUUUGACAAUUUUCAUCCAUUGCUUUUGGAAGGUUGGCAAUUCUAGUCCAAAUUGACAAACCCAAAAACAAAGGACUUUUUAUUACAAACGAUACCUAAGAUUUACAAAAUUAUCAUAUUUUGUCCUUAUUGUUCUUUUGUAAUACUAAUGGUCCUUAAAGUUAGCUUUUGUACAACAAAAUGAUCCCUGUCGUUAAAUUCUGUUAAUUUUUUUGUUAAAUUGAUGACGUGGCAUAUGUGUGGAGUUCACACAUCCAAUGAUAUAAAGCCACGUAGCUUUAAAUAUAAUAUAAUAUAUUUUUAAAUAUUUUUAAAACUUAAAAUUCAUUUCACAAAAAUUAAAAGCAACUUAAAUUAUUUAUUUAUUUAUUUUUUUAAGUUUUAACAUAGAACUAAAAUAUCAAUUAACAUAAAUUUCCUAACUUAUCCUCAAUUCAAUUCCUUCUCAAUUAAUUCAUCCUCAUUCUCACUCGAUUACGAAUAAGUAAACAUGCCAUAAAUUCAACGUAUUAAUUAGCGUUAAAAAAAUCCUUCCAUUCUAUGGAGGCAAAACACUCUUUGGUUGUCGGCUGUUUUCUACCUAGUACUGCUCCUGGAGCUUUAAUGAAGUUAGGUUUGUGGAUGCCUUUGGAGGUAGGGAAUAUUAAUUUGUGAACCUAUUACAGUUUGAAAGGUUGAACUUUGUAUGUACAGUUAUAUAACACAUAGAACCAGUCAAGACAGAGGCAUGUAAAGUUGUUAUUGGACUUUGAUGAAUUGACAUGUAUUCAAAUAAGACUAAAACACCUUGUGACAGGUACAUUAUGAAGAUUGCAAUGGAAAAAUUUGUGAGGAAGGGGACCCAAAAUUAUUUUUUAUGGGUGUCUUUGUGCGACUUUUUGAAGUACAAAUAAUUCUAAGAGCAUUCACACAACACAAUCAAAGUAAUAUUAGAGAGGGGGAAUUCGAACAUAUGACCACAAAUGUAGGGCUAACUACUCUUGACCACUUGAGAUUGUGCAGAUUUAAAGGAGCUGGCUUUUGAGGGCAACUCUCACACGUGAUCUUCCUCUAUGUCUAUUUGUUUGCAGAAUCUCAAUCCUCAGCACGAUGAAUGUUGCAAAGAGUUUCAUAGUAACUAAACAACACAGAAAACAACAAAAGAGCUGAAACAAAUAAUCAAAAUGAAAAAAAAACAAUAAGUUCUAGAAGCUCCAUCUUGAUCCACAUCACCAGCCUUAUCUUCAACUGAUCCUCAUCUCCCAAGAUCAGCAGAAAGAUUUUGACUAGAAAUUACUUCAAUUUAAAGCAUUUCUUAGGGCUUCAGCAUGACCCAUGAGAGCAGCAUAACUAAUGCCUUCAAUAGAAUCCCCUAUAUCGUUAUUAUUGUGUUACUAAUUCACAUGUUAUGUUAUAUGUGAAUGCUACAUAUAUAAAAUCAUGAGUGGAAAUGAGUGGACGCGGUAUGACAUUCGAAAAUCUUCCCCCAUUUCACAUCCAACUUCCACUUAAUUUAAGUAGGACCAGUCCGAUGCUGCCACUGAAAUGCACAACAUAUUAGAGGUAUCGUCUCUUUUUUAUAUGGAAUUAUUCUGUACAAAUAUUCAUCUUAUUUAUUUAUUUAUUUAAAUGUUUUCCCUCUUUCAUUGAAAAUUAUUGCAGGUUGCCCGGUAAACUUCCUGUUGAAACUUUAUUAAUUCGUGGGUUCUUCUAGUAGCCCUUAGCCAGCUCUCUCUCUCUCUCUCUCUCUCUCUCUCUCUAGAUCAAAACGUUUUUAACAUUGCCCCCAUUGCUUAGCUGCUUAAAACUACAAACCCGCACGUCUCUGUGCUAAGAAAAUUAUCACAUCCUGAAACUGGUCAAAUUCCUCAGACAGUUUGGAUACAUUUAUUCUAAGAAAAUUCCAGACAUCCUAAUUCCAAGACCCAAGUAAACAUUUAUAGAAGCAAACGCAAGUUUAUGCUUCAAUUUGUUACCACACAACAUGCAUGGCAUAAUUCUUUUUCGAUAUUUAUAUAUACUUGCCAGAAAAGGAAUUUAUUCCCAUGAUGUGGCCCAAUUACAUUUCUUUUAAAUGGAAAAGAUAAAUAAAGGAAAAACACUAUAGUAGAUGAACAUAUCUAGCAGGACAUCAAAUAAUACAGUUUUAUUUCUCAAGGCAGUGGGAGGUAAGUCACUUAGACAAACUUCCGUGCGCUAAUGUACAAUUCCAUUCAAUACUUGGACUGGUAACCUCGUGGAUUGUUUACCGCCCACUUCCAUUGGUCCCUGCACAUAUCGUCUAUUCCGUAUUUUGCCCUGAAACCGAAGAUAUAAAAUUAGCGAAGAAGAAAAACUAUGCGGCGCCAGUCAUCAUCUUGAAGGAUCAAAAAGAAUGUUUUGCAUUUGCAUAAAAGAAGAGAUGAAAUCUACUUACUUCCACCCGAGUUCCCUUUCAGCUUUCUCUGUUGAAGCAUAAACAGCAGUAGCAUCUCCCGGCCUCCUUGGGCAUAGUUUGAUGGGGAUUUUCUGGGAUAUACACAAUUAAGACAAAGUUCCAUAAUGAAAAAUUGAUUGAGAAAAAGAAAGAGAUAGUGAUUUAAAGGAAUCGCACAAUCACCUUGCCAGAAGCCUUCUCGAAGCCAGCAACCAUUUGAAGCACUGACGUACCUUGUCCGGUUCCCAGGUUGUAGGCAACACAUCCUAAGACAUGAAAUUCUAUUUAGAACACCCAAAUGCCAAAGAACAUUACCACAAAUAUUUCUGACAUGAUAGAGUCAUUCAGAAACAUGACACUCAAGAUAAUAAGAACAAUCACCUAGAUUCUCUGUAGUAAAAAGCUUCUGAAGAGCAGCAAUAUGACCAUCCGCCAAGUCCAUAACAUGAAUGUAGUCUCUGAUCUGUGCAUAAUGAAGAGAAUAAUAAAACUGGUAAUUAGGAAAACAUGUGGAUUUAAUCGAUUGCAUAAGACUAACAAGAAAGUCGUGUAUUAGCAGCAUGCUGAAGGAUGAUUCUAUGAGUAUAAUAUAAAACCAUAUGCAGUCCAAGCCAAAAUAAAUUCAACACGGGACCAGUAGCUGGAUGUCAAUGAACAAGUGAAUUCUUGCCAAUCCUACCCAGUCAUCUUGAAGAAAAACAAUCUUGAUGGAUUUUACAUACCGCAGUACCAUCCUUGGUGGGAUAAUCAUGACCAUAAACAUUAAGCUCAGGCAAUCUUCCAACAGCUACUUGCUGUAUGUAAGGCAUGAGGUUGUUUGGGAUGCCUUUGGGAUCUUCACCAAUUUGCCCACUCUCAUGAGCCCCGACAGGGUUGAAGUACCUCAGUAGAAUAAUUUGCCAAUCUGGGUCUGCUAUGUGUAUAUCUCGAGCAAUUUCUUCAAGGAAAAGCUAGUAAAAUGGAGCAAAUCCUAUGUUAGAGAAGAAGGAAAGAAAGCCAUCUAAUUUUUAACUCAACAUUAAUUCAAUGUUUUGUGGAAGAAGAUAUGUUGUAUACCUUUGUACGGCCAUAUGGAUUCAAAGCUACAAGGUCAAAAUCCUCAACACAAGGAAUUUUUGAAGGUUGCCCGUAAACAGUUGCAGAUGAUGAGAAAACCAUCUACACUCACACAACAUCAUAUUCAUCACGUUAGUAGGUGGAAACAUGGGAACAUUUUACAAAAUCAAUGUCUCAAUGUUCAGAUGCUCAAUUCCUCAGAAGUACUUUAGAAAAGACGAAAAUAAAUAAGUUUUUUUUCUCUAAAUAAUGAAGCCAAUAAUUCAGAACAUCAGUAUGUUUAUAAUCCACUUUGUCCUUCUCUUUAGUUUUACUGGGGCAUAAGAGACAGUGAGAGAAACCAAUCGCCAGCACAGGCACAUGGGGGAAAGAAUGAACAUUUAAAACAUUGGUCCAAGUUCCAUUGGUUUCCAUUCCACACGGUUGCCAACAUAUGGAAAACAAAAUAGUAAUCUCUGAACCUAAUUUGAGGUCCAACUGCAGAACUCAGAAAAAAGAAGAAAAAAGAAGAAGAAGUUGAGAGAUCAAACCUUUUUACAAUUGUAUUUUGUCAUGAUCUCAUAGAGAUUAAUAGUGCCAACCAAAUUAUUAUCAUAAUAACGGCGUGGGUGAGCAACACUCUCUCCUACAGCUUUCAGGCCAGCAAAGUGGAUCACAGCAUCAAAUCUGUCCCAUUAUAAUCCAACAGCACAGUCAAAUACUUGAACGUUAUAAUUACAUACUAUGAUGUAAUUAAGAAAAUUACUCACUUUGUUUGAGAAAACAGCCUCUCCAAAUCGUCCUUAUUUCUGAGAUCACCCUGCAACCAAAAAAAAAAAGAAAGCAUAAGUAAUUGAAUUAAUGAGAACGAGGCCAAAGUGAAAACACAAAACACAGUGUUAGGCUUAUAAGAAACUAAGAAUUUUAUUGCAAUAAUUGGAGACGAUUCUAAACCAACUGAGCCGAGCAAGACUAUGUUCAACUUAAUUUCAAGAAACGAAGCACAGUUAUCAGGAAUCCAAAAUUCCCUUUCACAUUCACUCUAAUUCCCAAAAUAAGUAACAGAGCAUCAAGAAGUCAAAAUUUUCUUUUCCAAUUUUAAAAUUAUCUAGGGAACCAAACAGAGCAGCGUAAAGCCAAAGCAGCAAGUUCACUAAACAAGAAAAAGAGCAAAAAGACAAGAAAAAGAAGAAAAAGAGAAGCGGCCAUAGCCAAUGAACAAGUGAAAGUGAGGAUAGCGAUAUACCAAAUGAAAGUGGAGCUUCUGAGAGAGCUUAGGGCCGACCAAGUCCCGAACGCGAUCAACAGCUUCAAUGACGGAAUUGUCAAGAUUAUCAAGGAUGGAAACCCUAAACCCUGCUUCGAGAAGCUGAACCACCGUGUGGCUCCCAAUAAACCCCGCCCCGCCGGUCACCAGAAUCGUCUGCUCCAUUGACCCCAUGCUUCUUGCCUCCUCCUCCUCACACACUCACCACAAACGAACUCACAGAGAGAGAGAGAGAGAGAGAGAGAGAGAGAGCGAAUCAAGGAGGGUCGUUCGGGAAUUUCGGAUAAGCAAGAAAGUGAAGAAGAAAUGUGAAUUUGAAUUGGAAUUUAUGAGAUUAUUAUACUAUAUAUAUAUAAAAGAAAAAGGGGGAAAAUUCAGUUGAUUGGGGAAUUGGAUAAGAAUGAAUAAUUGAAUUACGUGAUUGAUGAUAAACACCCAAAAAAAAAAAAAAAAGAAGAAAAAACAGAGAAAAAAAUUGAAAAGGGUGAGAAGUUCAGUUGAGGUGAGUAGAGAGAAUAUAUGGAAUCAGUACAGUUUGUUUUGCUUGGCGCGUUUUUAAUAGAUCUUUCCUUUUCUGUUAUGGCGGAGCUGUGACGGUUGCAGUCGCGCGAGUAAAGCGCGUUUCGUACUCUCCAGUGCCAGUGGUAUUGGUAGUUUGCGAGGUCGAGGUUUGCGGAUUUGAAAUGGGUGUGAUUAGACUCUGACGUGGUCCAUCCAAUUUCUGUUUUUCCAGCGAAUUUGGAUAUUUUUGUUUUCCUUAAAUUGCUUUUUCUUUUAUUUUUUUCUUUUGAAAGCGAUAUUGUUUUUUGUAAAGUUUGUAACGAACGAAUUUGACAUGGUUUGGUUGGCGUGCCGAAUAUCGUAUCCUAUACAUCUUUUUGGAAUAUAAUGAUAAUUAAUAAAUAAAUAUGGGAAUUUUGGCUUUUCCUUUUUGGGGAAUGAGGAGAUAGAGGACUUUUAGAUUUAGGAACAUUUUUUAUUUGACAAAGUAAUGUUUCAAACUAGUCUAAUGUAUAGAGAGUGGAAUAGCAAUCGGGUGCAAAGGACGAGCACACCAUCUUAAGUGACCUAAACUACAUCUACUUACUUAGAACAGCGGAGAGUUUGAACAACUGAAAUGAAAGAAAUUAACUCCUUUAAUGUGAAGAAGCACACACUAAAGCACAUCCAUUUUGGGCAAAAAUUUGAACCGUGGAAAUUUGGCUUCUUCUAAAAGUGUCAAGGUUAACCUAUACACCAACGUUAACGUCUGAUGAAGUAGCAUGUGCAGAGAAAAGUUGGCCACAUUUAGUAACACCUGAAUCAUUUUCGGCGUCGAAUUCACGUUCCAGGCACCUUCCUAGAGAUUUAACGGCAGCUGAAGAAGCAUCAGGUCUUCUGGAACUUCUCUUUCUUAUGAUGGAAGGAGUAUUUUUGAAACUCAAUGCCAAGUUCUUCAGUCUCGACCCGGGACUGCUGCCACUGCUGAGAUUCACAUUAACAUUCUGCGGACGGCUUUGGGGUGUAGAGUAGCAGGAUGGACUCUCAAGGGGGGAGGACCGGGUAGAAGCAGAUGCACCCACGAAAACCGAUGAAGAGGCUGAUAGAGGGCUGUGUUUGGAAGAUCCACUUGUGAUUAGAUUUGUCAAACUACUUGCUCCUCUAUCUGAUGAUCUGCAUUUCUGCACUUUGACAGGUUUCCAUUCUGAACAAAGUUCAUGUCUAUAAGAACAUCCAAGAGUCAACUCUGUAGAGCAAGCGCUAUCACUAAUCUCCAACCCUGUUCUCUGAUUGAGUGAGGCCAGUCUAUCAGAAAUCUGUCCGGCUGGGUUAAUCUCGACAAGGCCCGAUCUUAAUUCACCGUUCCAGACAUCAGGAUGCAUAUCCACAUCACAACCAUUAGGUGAGUAUGAAUCUAAUUUUCUCUUCAGUGUGCAGUUCCAGUGAUUUUUAAUUGCAUUGUCAGUCCUGCCAAUUUCAAUACAGAUGAGAUGAGUGAGUGCAUUCAACAGAAGGAGCCAAUCUCCCCAUUUGAAUUGUGUUAAUAAACAUAAAUUACACAAUCAUUAAUGAUAUAUCUAUGUUCAUAGUAAACUGUAUCUUCACCAGCAAAUAGUACACAAAUAGUGCAUGUCUAAAAUCCAAAAUUUGACCAAUUUAAUAAAUUAAUCCCUAUACAAGUGAUACAUAAUCCAGAUUUUUACCUCAUUUGCACCACAUACAAUCACAGGAAAAAAACCCAUGUACAUAUAUGUUCAAGUUCCCAAAACAUGUUGGUCAGUCUUCAAUUAAUGAAUUCAUCAUAUACAAAUAAACACAAAAUCAUACUUUCAUCCCAUCUGCUUUCAGUUAUUGUAUACCUUCCAGGUAGAAACCUGGCUAUUUCUGCCCACUUGUUACCAAAGAGUUGGUGGUAGUAAGUAAGAACCCACUCCUCUUCUUCUGUCCAUGCAUUUCUAUUUAUAGCCGGGCAUAAGUGAUUGUACCACCUGAAAGUAAUUAUUAACUUCAUUAUUGUCUAGUAUAUAACCUGCAUAGCUAACUAUUACAAAACACAAUGGAUGUGAACCAUAGAUUUGCAGAACAUAUGUUGAUUGAAUGGUACUUGAUGCCAAAAGUUUGAUGCACUGACUAGAAAUCGUUGCUGCCUACCUUUCUCGGCAUUGCUUGCCCAUUCGACCUGGUAAGAACUUUGCAAUAACAGACCAUCUUUUAGCACCAUGACUCUCAACUUGUUUGAUUAUGCAGUUGUCUUCCUGAAAUCCAGAUAAAGGAACAAAUAUCAGUUUUCCUUCAAUUAGUUUGUUCAGUCAACUUGUUUGUCCGUGCUUCUUAGUUUGUUUUCUCAUUGAUCACAUAUCAGUUUAGCAUAAAGUAAAAGCAUGAUUUCCCCAUUGUUAUAAAAGCAUGCAAGAGUGUUAUGUUUGCACCUCCUUUGUCCAGGGUCCCUUCACAAUUUCAGGAUUUAGAACCUUUUGCCAGCGCUGCAGGCACUGAACAUCUGUGCGCCCAGGGAGACACGCAGCUGCAGGACAUAAGGAAGCAAUCAAAUCACAAACUUUGCAUCAGGAAACUUUCAAAAAACUAGAAGCACACUUUUGAAAACCAACUGAAAGACAGUGGCAUGCCCACCUAUUUCCUUCCAAUUACUCCUGUUAAACUUUCUGACCAGCUCUCCUAGAAGAUUGUCCUGCCAUAACAAGAAGUCAAUUGAUUAAUAAAGUGAUUAAUUUCUGAGAAGCUAAGGAGACUAAAAUAAAGUCUCCACGUAGACUAAACCAACAUUAUAAAUAUAAGAACUUCUGUAUUUCCUUCUUCAUUAACAAUGUAUCUAAAACUUACAUGCUAAACUGGCAUUACAGAACUACCAAACUAAGGAAUUUUCACUACUGACCUCUUCCUCUGUCCAGCAUUUCGCUGACCGUCUCAUCGGACCAGUGGCUCUCCUAGAACAGCAAAGCAGACCAUUCAUCACAGUAAAGUAUCAAAUUAAGCAUUUACCCAAAACCAGAAAACUCAUGACCAAAGAAAAAAUUAACUCAAAUGGCAAUAAGGCAUAACCAAGUAAAUUGUAAUAUGAGGAAAAAGGCUAAUUGAAGAAUCAGAUGCCAUCAUAAAUAUGCCCCUUCCAUGUAAAAAGUUAAUUGAAGCAACAUACCGAGUAGCAGAGCUUGGCUUGGACGCAGGCGAGUUAAAACAGCCUUCAGUUUCAUAUAAUGCUUGCAAAAGGAAACCAAUUUUCUCGUAUGGAUCCACAACCACCUCCUGCAGCUGCUCCUUUUUCACUUUCGCCAUGAUCUCUUAGAAAAAUCAGUUUUCCUCAACCUUGAACAUAUUACAAGCAGAAAACAAGCCCUAAAUCAGUUAAAGUUAAAGUUUUGAUCGUACUAGAAAAUUCAACAUUCUGUUUGGUUCCUGAGAAAACAAACUAAUUGAAGGAAAACUAAAAGCGCCAAUUGAUCUCACAAUUGCAUCAAAGCCAGUAAUUUGAGUGAGUAUAAUGAAAAAGCGACAAAAUUUUGUCAUAUUUUCCCACAUUUUCUCACCAACCAAACAGAGCAGCAGAAAUUUCAACGAAUUGCAAAAUGAACCAUCACCAAUUGCACAAUGAAUCACAUAAUUGAACCAAAACAAACACAAAAAAUAAGGAAAUGCAAGAAACUUAAAACCACAAAAUUAAAAUCCGAACCUUGAAAAAGAAAGCUUCGAGGGUUUCUGAGUGUGUGAGAAUCUAACAGCCAAAACUACAGAAAGCAGAAAGAAUACCGAGCUGGUUUUAAGCAAAGGCAGUGUGAAAUGCGAAGGGCAGGACUUUUGGCGGGAAAGUUGGGAGCUUCUAAUUUUGAGCGAGUGGAAGCGAAAGCGGUUUUUGUUUGUUUUCUCAGUGGUGAGCUCUCUUUCUGAGAGAGAAAAGUCAGAAAUGACUGAGUGAAAGAGAGAGAGAGGAUUUGUGGUUGUAUUUAUUUAAGCGUUUUGGAGAAGUAGCUUACGCUGGAAGCUGAUGGCCAAGAAGGGAAGCUUUGGUGUUGUAUUUGAAGCGUUUUCAAGAAGUAGAUUGCGUUGGAAGUUUGAUCAACCGACGGCGGUUGUUUCAUCGCGUUUUGGAGGGUAGGAAACGUUUGAAUUCGUUAAUUGGAUAUGGGCUUUUAGGUGGACUCCAUUUCGGCCCAAUACAAUCUUGAUGUUCCUUCAUCGAUCUCGUCAAGCCAAAACUCAUCUUAUAAACGUGUAAAAAGCCACAUAUAUGAACAUCAUAUCUCUCUCAAAUUUUUCUACCAAAUGUCAAACACGUAAUUUAUCAUAUAUGUAAAAUUUCACAUUUUCUUUGUUUUAUUUUUUCUUUUCCAACCCAACCCCACGUCCAAAACCAAGCCCACCAUCACACAUUGAAAGUGGAACUCCAUCUAUUAGGAAGAAAAAACACACACACACACACACCUAGUAAAGUGUUUGUGUUGAGAACGUACGCACAAAAUAUGACUAGAUAUUUGUUGAAUUCAAUUUGUUGUUUGCAACCCAUCAAGCUUAUAAACUUGCUAGUAGGUUGAAUUCAGUUUGUGGUGCACUAUGAUUGAAUAUUGUGGAAUUCUCUAGACAAAGCCACAAACUUGUCGGUGGACUUGGUGAUGUCUCGGCAAACAUGCAUAUGUUACCAAUCUAAGAUGGAGCUAAGGCCAAUUAGUCUAUACAAAGCUAUGUAACCUCUUGCAGGGGAGGUGUCAUCAACUCAGAUACACGGGCUGCAUGAACCUCCCUUGGUUCUACGAUGCCCUGGUAGUGUCUUGAUCAUCAAAUAUAUAAGCGCAAAUGCGUAUGUCUUCUCAAGUCUCACCAAAAGUCAUAAAGAAAGAAUCAAUGGUCCUUCUUUCAAUAUGAUUUGUAGCUAGGAUCCUUCGUCGCAGAUAUGAUUCAAACUCAUGAAACUAUUGUCCUGUACUUCCUAAAUCCCUUCACUUACGAACCAACAAUGAUAUCAGAGCAACACGACUCAAAAACCAACACAUAUGCACUUCUCUAUUUAAAACACAAACCUACCUAUUGUAAUUCAUCUAUAUCACCCUCUCCAUUUAGAGGCUUAUAUUUGAAAGGGUGAAAAUUUACUAACUGAAUCUUACAUAAAAAGUAGUUAACAUGAGUAAAGGCUUCAUCGAUCAGAUCAAGCCAAACUGAUCUUAAAAACGUGUAAAGAUUUGUGCUUAUAUGAAAAUAUCACCUCUUUAUUAGUUUUGUGUACCGAAUGUCAACCACGUAAUCACACCUCCACAAGAAACGACCCCAACCCAAAACGGCAAACCCUACACAAGCUCAAACACUAUAAAUAAGCCAACCGCCAAAAUGAGUCUUUUCAUCUACGCUCCUCCUCCUCCCUCAUCCUCUCUACUACUCCACCGAAUUUGGAGUAAAGGUUUGAUGGACGCUAAACGUGAGUCCUGGAACCACCAAAUAAUUUGGCCCCAAACCUACUGUGCGUAUUCGACAACUCAUGUCACGACUGCACGGCUGGUGCCAAAUCGGUGAUUGCGGAGGACUCCUCCAGGGCAAAGCCUAUGGUUCAUCCCCAAACACCCUAGCCGAGUAUGCCCUAAACCAAUUUGGCAACAUGGACUUUCACUUGUAGAUAUGGAAUUUAGUUCCACGUCUAAUGGGUUCACUAGGGAACUGACUGUUGCACUUCUGGGAAAUGUGCGAAUACAAAUUGGUCUAAGUUUUUUAAGGAUCGGUGUAGGGAUGCUUACCCUAAAGAUGAUCCAACCAGCACUUUUACUUGUUCUGGUGGGACUAAUUACAAGGUUGGUUCCGAGUACACCACGUGGCUGGUGUACUAUCCAAUAGACAUAGGACAUAUGGAAUUAUUCUCCAACUUACCGCGUUGCUUUUUAUGACCUGUGACUGGCUGUAUUGGAAAUAUUCCACAUGUCCUAUAUCUAUUGGAUGGUACACUAGCCACGUGGUGUACCCGGAAUACCAAAAAAUUGUUCCUUAGGAACACACCAAAAAUCUGAGCCAAUCCAACUAACACCCCAUUAGUGUAUCAAAAGUAAUACAUUGAUUUUAGAUGAUUGACUGUGUCAAAUUCAAAAUAUUACAUUAAGUAUUUUAAAUACAUUACACCUAUGCAACUCACUAAAAUGUUAGCAAAGAAAUGUUAAUUAAUGUAUAUGUUGACUGAAAAUAAUUUCUUGAGGUACCUUUCCUUUCUUCUUUAUCUCUCCAUCUCAUCAAAACUCAUGUUCAAUUCAUCAUCUGCCUUCGCAUGGUCUUUGAGUUUGGUCCUUGAGAAUCUCACAUGAGAGAAAAGAGAGCAAACAUGAACCGAGGACAACCUCCCAUAAGAACAUACGCCUUGAAGAAAUUAUGGCAAGUCCUCCUCAGUUCAUAUCCACUCUCCAUCUCUUCAUGCAAGACUAUUAGACAAAUUAAUGGAAUUAUAAUGAUCUACCACUCCAUUUCAUUAAUUUUAUGCAGCCUUGCUAUCCAAUUUAUAUGCAAAUAUUGCAAACGACAUGUUUGCAGUUCUUUUAUUAUUAUUCCAUUAAACAUGUGCUGUAAUAAACCGAAAUAUGAGCUGAGGAUGACUUGCCAGGAUUUGUAGGCAAACAUUGCACACGCCGAUCGAGUUUGCAGUUAGGUUCUUUCACUAUUAUUCCAUUGAAACGUACUCACCACAUAGAAUGCUUUCUUAAGAAUCAAAGAAAUGGACGCAUGGAUAAAAUCAUAGCAACAUUUGUGGGCUUGGCCUUGGGCCCUCGGGUUCUCUUACGAAAUUUAGUAUUGCAAUAUUAUUGGUCCCUUUAAACAUGCAUUCUGUUCUGAAUCUUGUUUUUUAUUUCCUUUUUGGUAAAAGUUCAAGUUCUUUUAUUCCUCAUGUAUACAUAUGUAUUCCUUCAUUUCCUUUUAGAUCAAUCAUGGGUUUCAUUCGGUCUCAAUACCUAAAAAUAAAAACAAAUAAAAGACGAAGAAUAUCAAAUUCAACUAAAUAUUGAAAAUACACGAACUGUGAUUUGUACCACAUCAACUGACAACGUAUUGUAUUAUAUCUCUAAUAGAAAUAAGUAGAGAAAUAAUUAUUUAUUCCAUUAGAGGCAUAAAUCAUCUGUUGCACAGCUGUACCUAAAUCUCCACAACUCGCAUUGUGGAACGUACUUGAAAGAAUUCCUCUUUAUUAAUUCCAGUCAUCCAUCCAGUGGGAUCUGAAGUGGGACCAAAUAAGAUCUUGAGCUGGGCCUGAGUUUGUUCUUUUUCUUUUUUCUUUUCAUUUUAAAGUUUUCGUCAAAGUGAGAAUAAUUAAGCAUCGCCUACUAUCAUCAAUCACCAUCUCUGCCUAUAUACAUGGGCCAAACGCGUCAUAACAAUCCCAAGGCCACCAUACAUCAAACAAUGAAAAUGGAAAACUAUUUAUGAAAAAAUCACAGCAAAGUGUGUGUCGAGAACACAAAAAAUAUGAAAAGAUCAUACAAGUCAUGUUUUUAUACCUUAAAACAAUAACUGAUCAGUUUGCAUGAUAUGCUACAAUAAGAUAAGAUAUUUCAUACUUACUAAUAUGUUAGAGUGACAUAACUUUUAAUGCUUUAUCUUUCUCCGCACAAAUAUUUAAUGAUUUAUAUAAGAUAUUGGGGUGAAUUAAAUACGUUUGGCAAUUGAAACGUCGAAGAUGCCGUAUACAGAGGGAAGCAUCAAUUUGAGGUAUACUUGCCCUCCCCGCCAUAUACAGAGGGAAUACGGAAGAAAAAUGGAGACAGAGAAGGUAGGGUUUAAAACAGAUAUGAAUGAAUAAAGAGACAUAGUAGAGUGGGUGCUUUGCGAGAGAUAAUUGAGGAGGACAUACAAACAAAAUGUGUUUCUUUCAACCUAGUUGGUAGAAAUAAAAACGUGAUUGAGAUGACUCAGUUGCAAGUUGGCUUGAUAAACACGGAAAUAUCUAUUUAAUAACAUUUAAUAAUUUAAACAAACCAACACCAACCCUAAUUCACCCACCUCCACUCAAUUUGAAUUCUCCUAGUCAGAAUGUUUAGUUGGGUAUGUGUUAAAUCCAUUUAAAUGAUGAUUUUUAAUCUUGUUAUAUACAAUAUAAAGUUUCUUUUCUUUUUUUAAAAAAGUGAUUAAUUGUGAAUUAGUUACUCUUACAGUCUAAUCUAUUGAAAUUCAUGUCGUCUAAUGUGUAUCUGAACUGCCGUUAUUGAUAUAAGAUUUUCAUUUUUUAAAGACACCUUACUAAUUCAUAAUUCCUAUUGGCUUAUAUUUUUAUAGGGUUAUAUUUAUAUUUUUAAGAUUAAAUUUCUCGUUUUGUAGAGCAUUUUCAAUAUUCUAGCAAGUUUCCUAGUAUUCAUAGUAGAGAUAGUGAGACAAGAGAAGAGAAGAGAGUAGGAUAGAGGUUAUAUUAUAUAAAUGGUGGGUGAUUAAGUAUUUAAGUUGGAUAAAAAAGAAAAUUAAUUUGGUGAAAUUACCAUGAGGUCCUUAAUCUCAAAGUCCAUUCUUAAAGUUAUUUAAUCUAGAAAGGGUAAUUUUGACAUUAUCAAAAGACUUCCGAAUUUCAAAAAGUUUGAACGCCAACUUACUUUUGAUUGAAGAAUAUUUGUUGUGCAUUUCUAAUUUCUAUAUUGUUAAAUUUCAAAGAGACGGGCCAUUGGCCAACUACUAACAACACCGAUAUUGUCUCCAACUUAACCACCUAUAAAGCCUAAUAAGUGCGGGGUUUUAUCACAAAAGGCCUCAAUGAUAUUAGUAGUGGAACCAUUCAUUAUAUAUUGUAUUUUAUUUAAUCAAGUUUCCGAUGUGACACUUAUUCUUCAACACGCCCUCUCACUUGGGACCAUCACAUAGAAGGCCACACAUGGAACCAAGUCCACAUCGGAGUCAUACAUUCAAGCCCAACAAGUGAGCACCACGUAUUGGGUAAGGGUAAACAUUUAAGCCCAAGAUGUGAACACUACAUAUUGGGUAAGGGUAAAGGCCCAAUUUAGGCCCAGUCAAUCAACCCGCUCUGAUACCAUGUUAAAUUUCAGAGAGACGGGCCAGCGGCCCACUACUAACAACACCAAUAUUGUCCUUAAUUUAACCACCUACAAAGCCCAGUAUGUGUGAGGUUUUAUCACAAAAAGCCUCGGUGAUAUUAGUAGUGGAACCAUUCAUUAUAUAUUUUAUUUUAUUUAAUCACGUUUCCGACGUGGAACUCAUUAUUCAACAUAUAUAAUUGACAAUCUGGUAAAAGGGUCAUGAAUUGUAAACCAAUGGUCUAGCUUGGUGGAAAAAGGGUCUAACCAAAUGAAAAAGGAUCUUAACUUGUAGACCAGUGGUCUCAUGUUCGAAUCCUUAUGACACUUUGGUAUUGUAUGUGUGUACGUGAGAGAGAGACCCCUCCUCACGUAAUUUAGACUAUAUUACUUAUAUUUAAUCAUGUAAAAAUAAAUAAGAAUAAUUAAGCAAGUUAAUUUUCAUGAGGCCCAGAAUUAUAGACAAUUAUUGACAGGACCCGAUCCAAAUUUCGCUUUGGAAUCCGAACCAGACCCUGUGCGUGUCCGACACCUGGCGAAUGUCGGGCACAAAUGACCUAUUUGCCCUUCUAUACAAAACACGAUAAAAAUAACAAGGUUGACUUCUACCGAAAAACCGGCAGAGUUUCCCUUGUAACUGGCUCAAUACCAAAAUAUUUUUACCUGCCAAACAAGUAUAUAUAUAUAUACAACCAAUUGCCAGCAUACGUAUAUAUACAUUCCAACAGUUCAAGUGUCAAUCUAGGGCAAAACAUCAGAGCGACUACUAAGAAAUUACAAAGGAGUGAAUCUUUGUACAAAAUACAAAUCCUACAUCAGAAGAAAGGCGCGGAAGAUAGAAAGUGGUCCGGUGGUGGAUUCCUGUGCACGUCUAUUGCCCGGGGGCGCAAAACAACAAAAAUGGUGAGUGGACCCAAAAACAAAGUUUAGAAAAUACCAUAUGAACAUACUAACCCCACUGUAAAAACAGUUAUAGCUUAUUUUCUUUACUUAUGAAAUCAAUGCAUGUAUAUAACUAUACAUUUGAAAACAGUUGAAAACUAUCACUUAGGUGUACCCCUAUUUCCGUCAAAUCCUUAUAUCCGUCAAUUCCUUGCAUCACCAUGGGUGACACAUAAUCACAGGUCUCAGUGACACGAGGUCAGUUUGAGCUGCAACUCGCAGGAUUUAGGGAACCGUAGUCCACCUUUAUCCGCAUUACUCGCUCCACAUGAGUUUGAGUACCAAGGAACUCGUGGGGCAACUGCCAAGCAUGCUGACUAAACCGAAGGCAACAAAUAUAAUCCGAAGGCAACAUAUAUAAUCCGAAGGCAACAUUUAAUAUCUGGGUACAAGGUGAUUUAAGAAAAUAUAAAGUUUCUGAAGGAAAUAUGUUGAAUAUUUAACUUUCUGUAACCUUUAAAAUUCUGCUGCCAUUUAUCUAAUAAUUAACGAGAAUAUCUUUUCCUAUAUUCUUUAAAGGAAAUUUCACUCGGCAGCAUGCAACAUAAAAUAUUUAACAGAAUAAAACAGCUGAUACUGAAACUGAACUGCUUAAAUUCAUUUAUUAAAACAAAGAGUCCACUCACAGAUAGUCUGAGCUCGCUGGACCUCUUGAAGGUCCCUCCUGCGGUUCAACUGGUGCCCGGGUGCCUGAUUCAAUGACCAGAAUAUUCUAUUAAUACAAUAUAGUAUCAAAGUAAAAACCCUACCCCCGGCUCUUAAAAGUACGUGCAUCGAUUUAAAGUGAUCCCUAUGCCCAUAAAAGCUUUCCUUCCAUGUGGGGUUGUUUAGCGGUAUCUUGGGACUCAAAUAGCGCUAAAGUCCAAAAAGUCAAUCCGGAACCUAACGGGUCCAUGACCUCGCAAUAUGAUCCGGAUGUCGCUAGAAGGUCCAAUAUAUUUAGGACACCUGUCCCGAGGGUAUUGGUGUAAAUCGGACGGUCGGAUCGAUCACAAUCCUGUAAUCGCAUAAUUUCUAAACUCUAGCCCUAGGGUUCGCGUUUUCAGAGUAUUCGGGACUCCGAUUCACGAUCCGUCGAAUCCUACACGUGUCUGAAAUUAGCGAGAGUAACAUAUCUAAAAUUGAUUACGAUCCAACGGCUCAACAGUAUUGAACCCGAUAAUCGCACAAUAUGGAAAAUCCGUUCGAGGCUCAAACGAUAUCCAAAUUGAGAUAUGCGAAUUUCUAUGCGCUCGUGACGACCUAAGGAUCGCAUCAGAAUACAGUGUCACGGCACCACCCUCGCCCACGCGCCGCCGCACGCGCGGGCAGCGAUGGGUGUCCAAAGCGAUAACGCAUCGCCGAAAAAUCGCAAAACCAAGGCUCCAAACUCCUAUCCUAGGUAUAACACCAUAUUUGGAACCACUUUUGUUCUUGGGCCAACCCCAAAAACUGACCGGAAGUGGCCGAACACAGAGGCCGAAAGUCGGCCGAAUACCAAUUUGAAAACUGAGCUAGCUACGGUGAAAAUCAAUGCAAACCUACCCAACCAUCAGCUAGAGCAUGGAAAAUAGGUAGAAAUCCAUACCUUAAUCGACAAAUUUGGAGGAGAAUUGAAGGAGAACGAACUGGUUGAAGUUUUGACAAAACCGGCGGAAUUUCUGCCGUUUUUGGCGACUGGCGAGCGGCUUGCGGCGGGAGUGAGCUGCGACCUGACGGCAGGGUCUGGCCGGUCAGGUUGGUACCGGUGUUGGGGCUUGUGGUGGCCGGUAGUGGUGGUUCUGAAAUCUGGAGGGCGUCGGACGGAAGAAAAACCAGAGAAGGAGGAGGACUCGCGGGGAGAGAGAAAGAGAGAGAGAGAAAGCUGAGGUUUUUAUAAAAAAUCUGAUUUUCCUAAUUAGCAUUUUGCCCCUCGUGAUAUUUUACUCGUAUUUUCUUCGUUAAAGCUCCGAUUCGAGCUCACUUCGUGUCUAUGAACUCGUGUCGUCGUGCUCUACGCAACGGUGUAUGUGGAAUUAUCAAAUUCCUUUUCGGUCAAAAAGUCAACUUUUUGUUCAUAAUUUAUUCCAAGGGCAAAAUUGUCUUUCCGCAUAAUAAAUUACUAAUUAAAUAUGAAUUUUAGGUUUGGGUCAUUACAAUUAUUGUCUUUUUUAAUGGGGUAUUGAAUAGGCUGGUUGCAAUAGAAAUAGGCAUGCAUGCAUAAAGGGCUUGGGAGAGAAUUUUUAAUGUUUUUUAAAGUGCCAUUAAAACCUUCAUCAACAUAAAAGAUGCGCUUGAAACAGUCUUAUUAACCUAGAUUCGACUAAAUUCGAGGGAACUAGUCCCUGAAUCUAGUAGGCUAUUUUUUAUUGUGUUUUGGCUAACCAUAAAUGCGUGAGUAGUGUUGCGUGUAGUUUUGGCGUUUUGAUGUGUUUUAAAGUGGUUUCCUAUGAUAGGAUCCGCCCUGAAUUCUUCGGAACUCAAGACGAAAUUCUGUGAAAAAAUUCCGACAUCACCCCGGUGCCGAGCCCACUUACUAAUACUAGAGCCCCUUUCUUAUUUAUUUUAUUUUAUUUUAUUUUAUUUAUUUAUUUAUUAAGGAAAGGGGCACGAGACUUUCUGCCGAAAUUUCGUCAGAGUCUCCCCUGUAAAUUAGACUUUACCAAAUUUUCCAACAUUUUAAACAGACACAGUUUAUUCACAACUGGCAGCAUGCAUCAGAUAAAUCAUACAAUUUACAUAUAGGGCUCCGGCCUUCAAAUUAUUCGAAGCCGAACCACCAUCAAUGCUCUUAAAUCAAAUAAUGAAAUUAAACAAUGCAAUUAGUGAAUUCAAACUAAUUAUGCAUGCUAACUGUAAUCCACUUAAUAUAACUUCUCGAUUUCCAUCAUGUGAUAUUUGACAACCAACCACAAUCGCAAGUAGAUUAAGGACUCGGUCUAAAUCGUACAACGAUCCAAAAUAGGUUCCAAAACUAUCUUGACCACAACCACAUUUCAACAACACUCACUUAGCCAAAUGGGAAAACGAAAAAUCAAUCAAUCAAGCCUCGUUUUCAAACGAGUUUAAUGACCAUCGACAAAGUCGAAACCAAAUUCAUCCAAAGACCAAAAUAACUUUAGUUCGCGGCUGCACCCGGGUGGGACCCCAGGCUACUUACGUACCCUUACUGAGGGAUCAAGCCACACAUAGUUCUUACAUCCAUAAUCACGAACCAGAUGAUAUACAACCAUUUUCAAUAGUACAAAUAAGUUAUUUCUUGAAUUAUCUUUCCCUUUUACUUUAAAUCACAACACACCAAACAUAAUUCUUUUUAAACAUUAAUCUAUCCUCGACAUAGUAAAAUAAUCCAUUUUUCCUCUCUUUGUUACUUUACUAUACACCGGAGAGUCCAACGCCACACGUAGUAAAGUACGAUAAUCCAAGUGUACGGAUCUUUUACCAAACACCAGAUAAUCCAACGCCAUGUGUGGUAAGGUAACCAUCAUCCCAAUGAGCACAUACGCCGGAAUAUCCAACGUCACGUGUGGCCCAACUAAACCAUAUAUGCCCACACGCCGGAAUCAUCCAACGCCACGUGUGGGUACAACCCAAACCAUGUUCUAUGCGCGCAGACAACUUCAUCACACCUCGGAUCAUUCCAACGCCACGUGUGAUAAUCCAUAACAAAUCAUAAUGUCUCACAUGCCGGAAUAUACCAAUGCCACAUGUGAGAUCCAAUAAUCAUAUAUUUUCCCACAUGCCGAAAUUUCUAACGCCACGUAUGGGAAAUCCAGUAUCUGAGGGAUGGUACUUAACAUAGUGUAACUAUAUAAUUUCCAAAAUAAUCAACAUUAUUUAUUAACUUAAUUCACCAUAAUUCAUCCAAACCUCAUCACAAAUAAUUUGAAUAACUCAACAUAAACUCAUCACCAAAGCAAAUCAAGCUCUCAAAUCUCGAGAUAAACCAAUUCACAAUUAAAUAAUACUAAUACAAAUAUAUUUCAAUUUCUCAAAUUUUCAUUCAAACUAUAUUUCAUGCAUAUUCAUUUAAUUAUUGAAAAUAAUGCACGUUUUAAAACAAAAUCCACUUAAUUACGAAUAAUCAUAGCCGAGCCCAAGACUCACUUUCACAACCCACCAAUCCGAUAUUCCAAACUCACCCAUUCCAUAACUUCAGUUGUCAAUAACAAAAUCCAAGAAUUUCUAUAAGAUACUAUAAAACAAACUCCUAAUCCCAACAUAAUUAGGACAACUCCAAUAACGGUCAAGACUCGCUUGCAUGGUCGUUCUAGUACUUCUCAAAGGAUAAAACUACCUCGGAAGACUCACGGUCAACCGAGUGGUCUAACUACCCAAACUUGGUCAAUCGGGCCCACGGGGUCCACGAUCUCCGAUUUCUGAUCUGAAAGUUCCUACGGAUUCCACAAGGUUCAGGAUACACGUUCUGUAAGUUUGGUCCGGAUCGGACGGUUGGAUCGCUCAUGAUCGCACAAUCGGAUGGUUAUCGUAAGACGCAAAUUUUAAGUUAUUGAAUUGGAACAUUCGGGGCUUUGAUUCACAAUCUGCGAAUUCCUACACGAUCCUAGAGAUGCCUAGAUCAACAUAUAUUGAAAUGGAGUCGAUCCAACGGUUUGAGCAUAUCAAAUCUAGAUAAUGCCUAAUAUGUGAUAUCCGAUCGAUGAUUAAAUGAUAACUAGAUUUAUAUCCGAGCAUACCGACGUGGUCGGGAUGAUAUGAGAAUUAUUUUAGGACUCAAGGACUGGUCAAAAAGUGGCCCACACGCCGCUACACAAGCCGGCAGCGUGUGGCUGUCCAAAGCGAUUCUUGAGAUUGGAAAAUCUCUAAACCGCCGGUCAAGACUUAUACCUACACGAUCAGCACAUAGAGUGGAGCAAUUUUUGUUUGGACCUACCCUAAAAAGUCAACAGAAGUGGCCGAAAUCGGCCAAACUUCCAUAGCUUAUUUAACCACCAAAAUGCAGAAAUUGAUCCUAAACAACACAACUAACAGCUAGAACACAUUAAAAGGGUGAGAAAACAUACCUAGAUCGCAAGAUUUGGUAGCCGGAAUCGCCAGAACGAGCUCCGAAAAAUUUGGGUAAAAAUCGGCUUUGUUUAUGCAAUUUCCAGCGAUCGUGGUGGCUGUCGGCUUCGGGAAUGGAAGGAGGAGGAGCUGGCGGUGCUUUUGGGGUUGGUGCCACCCCAAGCGAUGGCUGGAGGAAGCGGUGGCGACAGUAAAACCGUUGCCGUUGUGUGUACGCAGGGGAGGGUAUCACACGGGAGAGAAAAGAGAGAGAGAGAGAGAGAAAUGAGGGUUUUUUCUGAAUUUAAUUAAACCCUUUUUGAAAUAAUUACGAUUAUGCCACUAAAGGUAUUUUGAUCGUAACUUUUUCGUUACAAAUCUGAUUCGAGCCUACUACGCAUCUACAAACUCAUCUCGGUACGAUCUACAUAAUAAUACCACUAGCUACCCCAAAAUUCUUCUAGAUUAAAAAGUGACCAAAAUACCCCUACUUUGAAAGCAAAAUUGUAAAUUCAUAUUAAAUUAAAUUAAAUUAAUUAAUGAAUAGUCUUAUUUUGGGUCAGGAUGUUACAUCCUAUUAUUUUGGAAUUUUAUAGCCUAAUUUAAUAGGGUUUUAGUUUUCUAUUCCUAGUAAACUUGUAACCCAAGUCUUAUGAGAUAUAAAUAGGACUUUUAGGGUUGAUUUAAAUUAGCUGACCAAAAGAGUGGUAGGGGAAUUUAGAAGAGAGAGAGACACAAGAAAAUUGAAGAGGGAAUUGUAGGGUGUUUACAAGGGCAUUAAAUGGUUUGAGCAAGGGUGAGAGAAAAGAUAGUUAGGGUUCUUGUGAGAGCUAAGAGGGUUCAAGAUUGUAACCAAAGUUGUUCUUACAUACUAGUGAAUUUCUAAGGCAGAUCACCAAGAUGAUGUAGGCACGAGGCCUAACCUCUAUAAAUCUUUUUGUUCUUGUGCGUUUUCUUACUCACUUCGUGGUGUGUGUGUUUUAUUCUCAAAGGGGUUUGUGAGUGUGACGUCGCAUAAUUCAUCAACGAUAAGGUCUUGGAAUGUUUUCACACAACAAGUGGUAUGAGAGUCGCAGUUGCGGUGAGUAUUGAUUUAUGCCCAAGAGCUCUUACAGUUUUAAGGGUGACGGUAUGUUGACGAUGGCAUACGACAAUAAGACACCACAACCGGUGGCCAGUGUAAAGGUCGAGUUGAAACACUUCACCGGCAAGGAGAACUUUACACUUUGGCAAAUGAGAAUGAAGUACAUCCUUAAUGAGCAUGUUCUCAGUGUUGUCUUAGCAGGCAAGGAAAAGAGCCGAAAACCUUGACUGAUGCGUAGUGGGAAGACCUAGUUUAGCUUGCUAAGAGGUUCAUCAAAUAACAUCUCAUGGAUGACGUGUUGUGUAAUGUGAUAGAGGAAAUCACGAAGCAAACAUGGGAAAAGUUAAGAGAGAUGUUUACGUCGAAAUCAUUGUCUAACAAGCAUUUCUUGAAGGAUGAGGUUCUUACUCUUCGUGUGAAGGAUGACAGAAACAUGAUGAAGCAUCUGAGUACCUUUAACAUGUGUAUUGCAAACUUUCAAUGGAUUUAUGAGGUUUAUAAGUUAGAAGAUAAGGUCGUGUUGUUAUUGACAUCCUUGCCUUCGUCUUAUAAGCACUUUCGAAUGACGCUUAUAUUCGGCCAGGGAACUUUGAAGUUUGAAGAGGUGGUGCAAGACUUGAAGUACCACCGGAUGGUUCAAUGUUCCAAAGGAGGCUCUCAAAGUGAAGGUCUUGGGGUGAGGAUUGGAGGGUGGGACCAUUCAAGCAAGCACGAGGGCAAGACAAGCAAUGGUAGGAAUUCUAGAUUUGAGUAUAAUGAAGAUUGCUUCAAGUGUAGGUCUAAGGAGCAUUGGAAGUGGAAUUGUCUGAUAUGGAAGGAAAAGCGGAAUAAGAUGAAGGAUACCGAAGGUUGAGGUGCAGCAAACUUGUCAACUGGUGACAGCGAUGACGAACUUUUGAUGGUUACGGAUGAGGAGCAUAAUGUGGACGUCGUCACAAACUCUUCGAGGAAAAGGUCUACUUCAGUUUGAAUUUUAGAUUUCGAAAGCUCAUUUUCAUGUGUGUUCAAAUAAGAUGAAGUUUGACACAUAUGAGGAAAUGAAGGGUAGCAAGAUUUUGUUAGGAGGAAAAAUAAGUUGUGAUGUUUUGGGCAUGAGAACAAUGAAGAUCAAAAUGCACGAUAGUAUUGUUAGGAGCAUUAGUAAGGUAAGGCAUGUAUCAGCACUAAGAAAGAAUCUUAUUUCUCUUGGCGCUCUAGAUAGAGGAAGGUAUUCGUACAAGCCCAAAGAAGAGAAACUUUUAGUCACAUAAAGUUUGGUGAUGAUUAUAAGGGGGAAGAUUCAGCCUAAUAAUGUUUAUCAGCUUUUGGGGGUACAAUUAUAGGUGGAGGAGAGAAUUCUACCAAGGAAGACUACAAGAUGGAGUCGGGUGUGGUUUGUACCAAGGAAAAGCGGGCAAAGGAUCUCAUUAUCAAUAAGCCGGUGCAACGAAAUGAGGCUACAAGUUCGCUCAAGACAAGGGAUGUUAGUCAAGGUUGAUUUAUAAAUAAUUUAUCAUCAAGGGUGCUUGAUUUCAAAGAUGUUGAAAUGACGGAGUCGGAGGACAAGGUCCAUAAGAGGGAAGUCAAGACAAGUGAUGAUGGGAAAACAUUGUUGGGUUGAUGGCAAUAAAAAAGGCACUUCUUACCAAGGUGGUCAUGGAAGGAACUCCAAGAUGGGUGGAGCUUGACAUAAGGGUUGUAAAAGAUGGGCAUCAAUAACAAACUCACAAAGGGGUUCUACUUGAGGUAGAGCCUUCAUCACAAGCAAGGUCCGAGCUAAAAGAAUCCAUCAAACUGUCCCAAAGGUUUGGAUGGAAGGACAAUAUAGAUUCAACUACGUUUCAGAGUGCAUUUGGGAGCAUGAAGCGGAAGGUUGGAUGGGUGCUUUGAUGAAAAUGAAGGAAUUAGUUCAUAAGUCCAAGAGCAAAGUUAGUGAUUGUGUGGGGGUUGGCAUGCAGUUUGCGUAUCAAGGCAUGUCAAGAAUUCAAGAUUCUAAGAAGGCGAUGAGUAAGGAGUUCAGCAUGGGGGAUCUUUCUUCUACACAAGAGGUCCGGGUUGCCCAAGUUUAGCUUGGGUGGAGCACCUCCUCACCCAUCUAAGGUGCAUUGAGGUUUCUUGCCAUGGUAGAGCUCUUGGGAAUUACUAGAAUGAUUUCCAAGAGGUUCAAGAUGUUCUAGGGGUCAACAAUAGGACUUUUGGGGCUAGGUUAAACUAGCCGAGCUAAAGAGAGGUUGGGGAAUUUAGAAGAGAGAGAAACAAGGGAAUUGAAGAGGGAAUUCUAAGGUGUUUACAAGGGCAUUUGAAGGUUUGAGUGAGGGUGAGAGAAAAGAGAGCUAGAGUUCUUGUGAAAGCUAAGGGGGUUCAAGAUUGUAACCAAAGUUAUUCUUACACACUAGUGAAUUUCUCAGGUGGAUCACCAAGAUGACGUAGGCACGAGGCUGAACCUCUAUAAAUCUUUGUGUUCUUGUGUGUUUGCUUACUAUGUUCGUAGUGUGUAUGCUUUAUUCUUGAAGGGGUUAUGCGUGUGUCAUCGCAUAGUCCAUUAACGACAAGGUCUUGGAGUGCUUUCGUACAACAGUUUUGUCUUUUAUGUCAUUGGACUAGAUUCAGGGAAAUUAUGACUGUAGAAAGAGAUUAUAUAAAAUUAUUUUCGAGAGUGAUUCUCUCCAUAUCGUUUUAGCUUUUUGGCUGGCUCAAGUCAGUGGGUAAAUUUUUACACAUGUAUGUCAUAUUGCUAUUGGGAUGACUCCCUUUACUGUGUCCUUUAUACCUAGUUUAAAUAAAGGGGUGCCUAUGCACCUAGGUUCAAUUUACAUAGGAAACAAUCUUGAGACAAACCCAAUAUAAUACCCCCCUUAGCGAAUGACAAGAAUAAAAAUAAAGAGGCACCCAUGCUCUCUCUACACAGAGAUAGGGGAUGACUAAGGGGAGAGACGAUUGGUGGGUUUGGGGAGAUUUUAUUAUUAUUUUUGUUUUAAAAUUAUAAUUUUUAUCUUGCUAAAUGAAUUACAUGUUAUAAACAGGUCUUUAGUAUUACUAAAUGAAGUACAUGUUAUAACACAAGAUACUAAAAUAAUACAUGUUAUAGUAUAGAUGGAAUGAUAAAUCUGCCACACCGAAAAAUUCUAAUUUUCUUCUAAGAGAAUUUAUAAAGAGAAAAGUGUUUGAUGAAAUACAACAGACCUAAAAGAAAAGGCUAGGCAACAAUAGUGAAGAGGAUUUCAUUUGUAAGGGGGUCUCUCACAAUAUAUAUAUAUAUAUGUAUAAAUUUGAACUCACAACAUGACUAAGUGGACAAAAACAUCAUGCGUAAGUCAAAAUAUUUACAACUUUUUUCCUUUGCUAAUUUACACAUAAAUUUUUUUGAAGACCCAUUAAACUCAAUAGAAGAAACCAAAAUCUCACAAACCCAAACUAACCAUAUGUUGAGAAACACAAUACAAAGUUUCACAAACCCAAAAAACAAUAUAAAAAAGUAGAGAAAGUUUAACGAACCUUAAUUAAGUGAGUUAAUUAUAUUGAAAAAACUUGAUAACAUAUAAUAUGAAGAAUAAGAAAAUAAACAAAAGUCACGAACAUAGUUGUAAGAGAAAGGAGGAGGAAAGAGUUUUAGAUUUUAAGGAUUUGUGUUACAAAAAUUAUUAUAAUAUAAUAAUUAUAGAUUAAAAAAGAGGUAAACAUGAAAAUGAAAUUGUUAAAGGUGUUGUAAAAUAUAUUAAUAUAUUAAUAUAUAUAUAUGUAUUAUCUAUCUAUAUAUAUAAAGCAAAAGGCAGAGAAUGGUGAAACAUUCAAAAUACCAGAAAAUGCCCUUUGUUAAUUCAAACAUUAAGAAUUGAAAUUAUUAAUUAAAUGAGGAUAAUAUAGUAAAUUUAUAUUUUUUAAUAUUAAAAAAAUUAAAAUUAAAAACAAAAUAAGAUAAUAGGUCCUACUUUGAUGGAACAUAACUACCAUGUUAUCUUUUAUUAAUUCUAAAAAUAAAAUAAAAAAGAAAAAGAAAACCAAUUGGCACAUGCGUGAGCAUGUGUCAAGAGGCUAGUAUAUUAUUAUUAAAAAAAAAGUGUUGGGGGGUCUGGGACCUUACUGGUCCCUUAGUGGCCAUUUGAUUAAAUUUGCGCAAGUACAAUAAGAGCUAGAAUUUCUCUUAUCUUUAUUGAGACUUUUGUUGAUGUUGAUCAGUGGUUAUCUACAAUAACUAAUAAUUAUAGUGGAGAGGACAUUGUGGUUGUGGGCAAUGGAUGGGGUCCGAAAUUAUAAAUGCACUAUAAAGUUUCCAACACAAAAAACCAACACCAUUGGCCUUUUCCCUUUCUCCAACGGCAUUACUAAACUUGGUUAUAGACCUAUAGCAAACUAAUGAUGAUGGAGUAGAAUUGUAUGGAAUAUCCUCCUUCAAAAAUAUAGAAAAGUUUUAUCUCUUUGAGAUGCCGUAUAUGGACUGGUGCAAGGCUAAUGGUGAGAAGUUUCUUGGCUCUUUAUUGAGACUUGCUAUUGCUAGUUGGAUAAUUCCCAUCGAUACUGCCUGCUUAGUGCUCCUUAAUUUAGUCAGGUCAAUUAAUUAACAACUGGCCUAACCCUUAAUUAUGUGGUGGAAAGAGUAGGUAGAUAGAGCUGUACGUUCAUAGCCAGCCCAACCCAAGUAUACUCCAACUCUAAAACUAAGCUCACCAAACUAAUUAAGGGAGCGAGUGGAUCCUAAAGCUGGCUGACUAACUUCAUCAACUUGUACAAGUCGAAGUAAACCACACCAUGUCGAAACUUGGUCAAUUUUCACCUUUUUUCUUUUUCUAAAUCAAUUGUGACAUUUAAAGAAGAUUUAAACUCAGAAAAUCUAACUUGUCUUUGGUUGGGGUUUUUUUUUUUUUUUUUUGAGACAUGCGAUAUUCAAGGAGAUGAAAUCAAACCUAAGAUCUCGAUGCAAGGGUAAUACAUUUAACUACUUAAGCUACAAACCCUUUGCACCUCUUCUUUGGUAGUUGAUGAAUAGCUAUGUAUAUUUUCCGUUUAUUAAUAAAGAGAAAUUCAAAUUAAGAAUAUGUUAUAAUAUUGUAUUUAAUGGUGUUUUUCGUUACACAAUUUUUGCUUAAUCACAUUUUGUCUCAUAACUGACUUAAUUUGUAAAAUAAAAUUACAUGUGAGACAUUACCUACUCCCCGUGGACAAAGUCUCUCAUCACUUUUUCUGAUCUCGUGAUAAAACGAAGAAGAAGAAAUAUUGGUCCUAUUUCCAUGCGUGGAACAAUGAGCUAAGAAAGUGACGUCCUUUUCAUAUUUAUAAUAUGUCAUAUAUGUCGCCAUGCCCUGCUCUAUAUAAGCUUAAGAGACCUUAACAACAAAUGCAUAAAAAAAACAAAUUGCAUUAUGAGAAUCCUCAAGAACCUCCCAGCCUUCUGCAUCCUAUGUGCCACUCUCUUCUUUGCAUCAACCAAUGCAGCUAGAUUCGAUAUCCGAAACAACUGCCCCUUCACAGUCUGGGCAGCAGCCGUGCCAGGCGGUGGACGCCAACUUAAUAGAGGCCAAAGUUGGGCCCUAGAUGUGCGUGCCGGAACCCAAGGGGCUCGCAUUUGGGCCCGAACUGGAUGCAGCUUUGAUGGAGCCGGACGUGGGAGAUGUCAAACAGGUGAUUGUGGGGGUGUCCUCCAAUGCCAAGCCUAUGGCCAACCCCCAAACACCCUAGCUGAGUAUGCCCUUAACCAGUACAACAACUUGGAUUUCUUUGACAUUUCCCUUGUUGAUGGCUUCAACGUCCCUAUGGACUUUAGCCCCACGUCUAAUGGGUGCACCAAGGGCAUCAGAUGUACCGCUGAUAUUAAUGGGCAGUGUCCUAACCAACUGAGGGCUCAAGGAGGCUGCAACAACCCUUGCACUGUGUUCAGGACUGAUAAAUAUUGCUGCAAUUCUGGGAGCUGUGGCCCAACAGACUUGUCUAGGUUUUUUAAGGAUCGGUGCCCGAGUGCUUAUAGCUACCCGAAGGAUGAUCCAACGAGCACAUUUACAUGCCCUGGCGGGACCAACUAUAGGGUUGUGUUCUGCCCAUGAAGCAGAUACAUCUUCUAGGUUUAUAAUAUCUAUGAAUAAGUCUGUGAUCAAAUAAAAUUAUGGUCUGAGCUGAGGGCUUGUACUCUCACACUUGAGUACAGUCAUAUCAUAAUUAACAUCAAAGAUGAAUGUAUCCUGCUUUGGAUUCAGAAUAUUUUUCUUAAUACUUGUCGAUUUUGCUUCAUUGGUUAUUGCUUUUUCUAUCACCGAAAGGUAUAUCUUCAGUGGCCAUUCCUGGAAAAUGGAUUCAUGGUCUCUCUAGGGAAGCUUCUCUUAUUUUCUUUAGUUUAUUUUUCAGAUUGUUUUUAGAGUGUCUGGUUCUAUCUAUUUUGGAACCCAAAUUGUCCCUUUAACUGUUUGGGCAGCAAAGUUUUGCAAACCUUCGAGUAUAAUAUUCCACUAAUUGUAGUAUUUAUUUUUACUUUGAUUGAAGGCGAAUGCCUGAUUUUGAGAAUUUCUUUUAUGCUCUUUGAGACUUGUAUAGCUAACCUCGUCACUGCUGGCUCCGCUCGGUGCUCUCUUAGUCAAGUCAAUACGUUACAAAGUUGUAUUUUUUACUUUGGCGCAUUAACCCAAAAGGAAAUCUAAACACAAACAUGUAUACGACUCUUAGGAAUAUUAGGAAAGGGGUAAUCAAGCACUUGACUUAGGAUAUAUGCAUAACUGCGCUUAACCAUUUGAGCUACAAACUCUUAUUAACGAUUAUCUAAGACUACUAAUAACAAUAUUCUCUUUCAUAUUAGGAAAAUGAUGAUUUUGGUCUCUCUACUUUGAAUGUGAUUUUCUACUGAGUCUCAUAAUUAAUUAUAAAAAAAAUUCAACAAUGGAACUCUAUUGAAUAAUGUUUCCUCGUUUAUAUCAUUUAUUUUAUUGUGUAUUUUUUAUGCAUCACGUGACAUAAUAUCGUGUAGCAAAUACAUCAAAAUUAUACAGCAUGUGCUAUUAUCAACAUCUAAACCCUAAACAUUUUGAGUAGUACAUGUAUUAGAUACACCAUAUAAGCAUGUCCCAUGUAUAAAGAAUACACUAUAUUUCCUUUUUCAUUUUUGUCAUUCCAAUUAAAAUCUAUAUAGAUUAAAUUUAUGGGACACCAUCAACAGGUUUGCCUACAGAGGGUUCUUCCGGCUACAUGUAUAUGGCCUUGCUCUUAAUCCUGCCACGAUUGAACUCCUUUUUAUGUAACUUGAUUGCAUGCCAUUUGUCAGAUUCGAAAGCACAUUUUAGAAAAUUUGUAUACUGAAUUCUGCAACAAAGUAUUGUUUCUUAGUGUCAUCACAUGUUUUCCGUGAGAAACCUAAUAAUGAUAACAUAUAAGGCCUGAAACAUAACGUGAAGGAUGAUUUUGUUGCCAAAUUCAGGUGGCUUUGUUUGCUGUGAUCAUCGAGGACGUGGCUUCAUCGAUCAUGUCAAGCCAAACUAAUCUUAUAAACGUGUAAAUGUUUGUGCUCAUAUGAACAUCAUCUCUGUAAUAUUUUGUACCAAUGUCAACCACGUCAUCACACCUCCCCGAGAAACCACCCCAACCCAAAACGGCAAACCUCUUUAUAUAAAACCCUACACAAGCUCAAACACUACAUAACCCAAUCACCAAAAUGAGUCUUUUCAUCAAACACUACUUACCCAUCACUUUCUUCCUCGCCAUCCCUCUCUACUCCAUCUUGUCCCAUGCAGCCAGUUUCAACAUCCGAAACAACUGCCCCUACACUGUCUGGGCAGCAGCUGUGCCAGGCGGUGGCAGACAGCUCAACCGAGGCCAAACAUGGACGCUAAAUGUGAAGCCUGGAACUAAAAUGGCUCGAAUUUGGGCCCGAACCAAUUGUGCCUUCGACAACUCAGGUCGUGGCCGGUGCCAAACCGGCGACUGCGGAGGAUUCCUCCAAUGCCAAGCCUAUGGUUCACCCCCAAACACCCUAGCCGAGUAUGCCCUAAACCAAUUUGGAAACAAGGACUUUUUCGACAUUUCACUUGUAGACGGGUUCAAUGUUCCAAUGGAAUUUAGUCCCACGUCUAAUGGGUGCACCAGGGGGAUCAAAUGUGCUCAAGAUAUCAAAACGCAGUGCCCUAAUGAGUUGAAGGCCCCAGGUGGCUGCCACAACCCUUGCACUGUGUACAAAACUGACAAGUAUUGUUGCAAUUCGGGGAGAUGUGGGUCUACAAAUUUAUCCAAGUUUUUUAAGGAUCGGUGUAGGGAUGCUUAUAGUUACCCUAAAGAUGAUCUAACUAGCACUUUUACUUGUCCUGGUGGGACUAAUUACAAGGUUGUGUUCUGUCCUUGAAUCACGUUGUUUCUCCAAGUUAUGUUGUGUGGCGUUUGUAAGAUGUGUACUAAUAUGAAUCCUUAAUAAAUUGUGGCCACGACAAGAGUUUGAUUUUCAUAUCUCCUGUCUUCAAAUUUACAGAUUUAAUUGCGUGGUUGGAACAUUAAUUUUUUUUUUUUUUUGAAUUAUACAUAUGCAACACACUAAAAUGAGUAUAAAAAACUGUUAAUCAAUAUAUGCUGUCAGAAAAUAAUUCAGUUCUGGUGGUACCUUUUUAUUUUAUCUCUUUCAAUCUCAUCAAAGCUUAUGUUGAAUUCAUCAUCAGCCGUUGCAUGAUCCUUCAAAAUUUCACAUUAGAGAAAAGAGAGCAAACGAGAAUCGAGGACAACCUCCCAGAAAAAGGACAUACACCUUGAAAUUCUGGCAAGUCAUCGUCGGCUCAUUUCUACUCUCCACCUCUUCAUGCAAGACUCUUAGACAAAUGGAAUUAUUAAUGAUCUACCACUCCAUUUUAGGUUCUUUCACUAUUAUUCCAUUCAAACGUGUGACAUAAUUAGUAUAUUAUGGACCCAAGAAGAAUUAAGCAAAUGGGAUGCAUGGAUAAAAUCUUCACGACAUUUUGGGGUUGGUCUGGGGUUCAAAUCGAUCUCUAUCUUUUCUAGUUUAAUUCCGUCUUGUAGCUUUUUCGAGAAGCAAUCAUUUCGACCAUAUCCUUUUGGUCCAUCAACCAUAUAUAUAUGUUCAUUGGAUCCAACUUUGACAUUCAAUUUGCGCUUUAUUCUGUGCAAUCUUAUCAUUUUAUAUGCUCAAAACAUGCGUCGCAACAAUUUCUAUUUUUUAUAUUUUAUAAAAGCAACUUUUUUCCCGGUCUAGUUAAUAAUGCAAUAUUCUUGGUCCCUCUCCACAUGCAUUCGUUUGUGAAUCUAGUUUUUAUUUCCUUUAUAGUAAAAGUUCAUCUUCGUUUUUUACCCCUCAUUUUUCCUUUUAGAGAAUCAUAUAGGUUUCAUUUUCAGUCUCGACCAAAUGGGUAGACGUAGACUGCUACACUAAAAAAAGGAGAAAAUACAAAAACAUAAAAGAAAAUUGAAUCCAACUGAUUACUGAAAAGUUAAUACUUUUAAAGUUCUUUUUUUAAAAGUUACGGUCAAUGAUCGCUGUUUUUUCAAAGCAAGGAUAACCCAGCUUUUAAAAGCUGUUUUAAAAAAAUUGGUUUUAUUUAUUUAUUUAUAAUCACAAAUGAUAUACCUAUAUUUUAUUUAAAUAAAUAUUUAAAUUUAUAUUUUUCAUAAGUACAUUAUUGGAUAUGUAAUUUACACACACACAUAUAUAUAUAUAUAUUUUUCUGGUUUCCAAUUUGAGGGGCGAUAUGUUAGAGGGAAUGGCAACCUAAAGAAAUAGGGUGAUUGAUAUGCUACUAAUAGGGAGUAUUAAUUACAAUUAUGACAGUUAAUGAAAUGUUUGAAAUAAAUUAUAAAUAAAAUAUGAAGUCUUGUGGCAACGAUGUAAAAACACAGGAAUACUAUGACCUCUUAUAUCCUACUGGUCAUUUAAAUUUAAAAUUGAGUUUUACACAUAAAUUUAUAGAGUAAUGGAUAUAUGUUUAGAAAAUAAAAAAUGUAAGGACUUAUAUUGGACAAGCCCUGAAAUAUAUUAAUACUUACUAAUAUGUUAGUUUAAAAUAACUUUUAAUGGUUGUUGUCUUUCGUACAAAUAAUGCUCAGCAUCAACACAAAUAUUUCUCGAUUUAUAUAAGAUAUUGGAGUGAACUAAAUAUGGUUGGCAACUGAGAGAAUGCCAACCUAUCAAGCUUUUUGAUAAUCCACAGUUGAUAAUUGUUGGUAUCUCUCAAAUAGGGAAGACAAACGAUAAUUUACUAGAGCUUGCCAUGGCACUUUUCCUGUGAAGGUAAUUCAAAAGUUUUUGCUUCAUAGAAUAUUGAUUCAAUCUAUUUUCCACUGUUUGUGAUAAGGAACACAAGUCUCCUCGACAAAAUAUAGCCCACAAAAAUGAAGUUUGCUUUUUCUGAGAAAAUCCAAUUAGAGAUUGUGGUAUGCCAAGCAUCUUGCGCAUUUCAACAUUAUCAUACACUCGUUGACUGAUUCAACUAGUUAUCUGGAAAUUUAUUUGUAGUUAGAAUUCGAUCCAUGAGGAGCCUAUGAAAUUUUAACAUCUGUUUGGAAAUUUGUCUUUCUAAAGUCAUGAUGAGCAUAUUAUAUUUUAAGAUCUGGAAUAUGCCAACAUUGACUGGCACAUAGUGAGGAUCUAGAAAGGUCUAAAAUAUUGAUGAUAUCGGAAAUAUCGGUAGUUCAAAAAUAUGGAAAUUUCGAUGGAAAUAUCGGGAUAUUAUCGAUAUUGAUAAAAAUUGAAUAAAAACCAUGGAAAUUGUAAGAAAAACUUGGAAAUUUUUAUUAAAACUUUGGAGAAUGUCUAUUUAGUCAAUUAUCUAUGAGUUUAUCACAAAAAAUUAGAAGGAAAUGCAUUGCAUGAUGGAUUGAACUAAUAUAAGUUGAUUAUACAGCAAGCGGGCAAACACUAUGAGUGUAAAAAAUAUGUAAUAAUUAAUAAAAAAAGAUUCAAUACACCGUAAUCAUUCAUAUAUAAUGAUUUACUAUAAUAUUUUACACUUUAUACAUUGCAUGGUAAGAUACAUAAAUGACUUAGUACCACAUAGAGUUCCUACGAGGUUCAAAUUUUUCACUAUCUUCAUCAUCUCUAUGUGUAGAGUAAGUGUAUUGUGAAGAGUAGUCAUCAAAUGAUAAAUCCCCAAAAUAGUUUUGCAUGUAAUUGUUAACAUACCACCCAUAUAAAUAUAAAUAUUUUAGCAUAUUAUCACAAAAACAUAAGUGAUAUGGUGUUUAAGGUGUUGGAGGAGUAAAAUGGGAGGGGUUCAUAUCCCUUUUGUGCUUUUUUCUCCCCUUUUUCCCUUUUUUUUAAUUUUUUUAUUUUUAUUAAAACUUUUUUUUUCCUUCACAUCGAUAUUUUCGAUAUUUUAGCGAUAUUACACCGAUAUUUUGACAAAAUAUUGCUGAAAUGUGAGCGAAAUUAUUGACAUCGAUAUUUUCCGAUAUUAUCGUCGAUAUUGUCGAUAUUUAUACGAUAUGUACAUGGAUAUGUUCCGAAAUAUCCGUGAUUCAAAAAAAUCGAAAUAUCCUCAAUAUUUCUUCGAUAUUAUCGAUAUUUCAGACUAUGUCUGGAACGAACAACCACUCAAAAUUAAAAUGCUAAUUAGAUUUUUAUUUAUUGUUAUUACUAGAAAACUGACGUGUAGGGAAAUUAUUGUAAAAAGAAAACAAAAAUGUGAAGAUAAGGGUAAGCACGUGUUCCCAUUUGGGUUGCGAAACUUCCACACAAAAAACCAAUACCAUUUGGGACUCUUUGGGAUCUUUUUCCAAUGGCAUUAAUUAUAUAUAUAAUACACACACUUUGGGUCCUUUUCAACUAAACUAUAUCCGAUUGACAUAAUAUUGGCCCUAUUUCCAUGUGUGCAUGGAAGAAUGAGCUAAGAAACGGACGUCAUUUUUCAAAAUUAUGUACGUCAUACACUGCCCCUUGCCCAUUACCCCGCUCUAUAUAACCUUAAGACACCUUCUCACAGUUAUUAAAAAAAAACACCACCUCCAAAAUGAGUAUCCUCAGAAACCUCCUAGUCUUCUGCAUCCUAUGUGCCACUCUCUUCUUUGCAUCAACCAAUGCAGCUCAUUUCGAUAUCCGAAACAACUGCCCCUUCACCGUCUGGGCAGCCGCCACGCCAGGCGGCGGACGCCAACUUAAUAGAGGCGAAAAUUGGGGCAUAGACGUGGCUGCCGGAACCAAAGGGGGUCGCAUUUGGGCCCGGACCGGAUGUACCUUUGAUGGAGCUGGACGUGGGAGAUGCCAAACAGGUGAUUGUGGGGGUAUCCUUCAAUGCCAAGCCUAUGGCCAACCCCCAAACACCCUAGCUGAAUAUGCCCUUAACCAAUUUAGCAACUUGGAUUUCAUUGACAUUUCCCUUGUUGAUGGCUUUAAUGUUCCCAUGGAAUUUGGUUCCACGUCUAGUGGGUGCACUAGGGAUAUCAGAUGUACGGCUGAUAUUAAUGGGCAGUGUCCUGGCCAACUGAGGGCUCCAGGAGGCUGCAACAACCCUUGCACUGUGUUCAAGACUAAUCAAUAUUGCUGCAAUUCUGGGAGGUGUGAACCUACAGAUUUAUCUAGGUUUUUCAAGAUGCGGUGCCCGGAUGCUUAUACACUACUACAAAAAAGCAAAAAGACGACGGUAAAUCACCGUCGUGUAUUUGGUUUUUCAAUGGUCGUGGAAUCCACCGUCAUCUUUUCCCUCAUAAACCACGACGCUAAAUAACCGUCGUUGUUAAACAAUACAACGUCAUCAAAAAAUACAAAACGACGUCUUUGUACUGCAAAAGAUCUAAAAAAAGCAAUCGAUGAUGAUAAUAGACGACCAAUUCUCUAAAAAGACCGUCGUUAAAAAGGGAAAAUAUGACACAUAUUAAGAGAACAAGGCCGCAAGAUAGACAUACAACGACGACAAUAAAAAUACGCCGACGUUAAAUAUAAUUUUCACGACAAUAAAAAAUAUGACGUCUUUAAAUACAUUAGAAGACGACGUUAUUGAUACCUACUACGUCGCACAUAUAAACACAACCGUCGUACAAUUAAUUUUCCACUUCGAUUUUUUGAUAAAAGAUGACGUGGAAAUAGUUGUCAGUGUCAUUAUUUACGACGUAUGUGUUUCUAUAGUAGACGUUGAAAAACUAAACAACGUCAGUUACAAAUAUAUGAGAGUCGUAUUAAAAAAUUUAUACGUCCUAUUUUCAGAAACAAACAACGACCAUAAAUAUUAGACGUUGUUAAAUACAACAACGUCGGAAAACAAUAAAAACAGACGUGUUUAGUCUGCUAAAGUUCUACAACGUCUCUUAUUUACAAAAAACCGUCGUGAAAUAAAUUUUCCACUUCGAUUUUAUCUAAAAAAGAUGACGUGGAAAUAGUUGUCAGUGUCAUUAUUUACGACGUAUACAUUUAUAUAGUCGACGUUGUAUUUAUAUGUAUUCAUUACUCACGACGCACUUAAUAAUAUAGACGACGUUGAACGUCUAAACAACGUCGGUUCCAAAUAAAUGAGAGCCGUAUUACAGAACAUAUAGACGGCGUAGAUUAUGAUGGGAGCCGUAUUACAAAUAACGUCGUUUAAUUGUUAUUAGACGGCGGUUAUAAUGAAUUUCCGUCGGAAUUAAUUUCGUUCCUCUUCGUUUAUAAAAGAACUUGCGACGUGGAAAAUGUAUGAUGACGUCGUAUUUUUUAACGUUCAGAUUACAUAUCUCGUUUUUUAGACGUCGGUAUUAUGGGAUUGGAGUCGUGUUAUUUUGAAUUACAUGGCGGUUCUUUAUCCUUCACCGACGUGAUAUCCUGAAUAAUUGCUUCACAAUAGCGUCGUGGUUCUUCAUUGUUACGUUGCUUUAAGACGUCGGUAAAUAUGCUGAAUAACUGAUUCACAAUAACGUCGUGUUUUAUUUGAACGUAGAAAGUGAAGAAAUCACAUUACAAUAUAUUACAAAAUUAAUGUCAUACACUGCCAAUUACAUAAGCAUCAUUCAAUCCAUAUAUCUUCACACCCAUCUCGAAUAUUUUGACCGCCUAACUCACCUACCAGUUCAUCAAAUGUGUCAACAUUUGGCAUCCCUCUAGUAAAUGGCUCACACUCAAUUAUCACAUCACCUAAUACUUCAUCACCAAUAACAUCAUUAUAUUCUCUACUAGGCAUUGAUAACACUACCGACCAACCACGAUGCAUCGGGUCGUCAACAAAAAAUAUUUGUUUGACUUGAGAAGCCAAAACAAAUUGGUCAUUCCUAUGUCCAAUUUUACUCAAAUCUACAAGGGUAAAUCCAAGUUCGUCGACUACAAGACCAGAACUAUCUAUCCAAUCACACCUAAAGACUGGGAUUGUAAACUUUUGGUAGUCAAGGUCCCAAAUUUCUUGAAUGACACCAUAGAAACCCAUAUUUGAGAGAAUUGGGUUUUUAUCCUUGGCACUAGCAACUUGCAUGGUAUGUGCAAGUAAAUAAACUCCACUAUUUUGAGUUGUCCGCACAUCAUCUUGUGCCUUGAUAUUGAAUUUAAUACCUUUAAUAAGAUAGCUCCUAUAUAAUGGCACUGACAUGUUUGGACCAGCUGCUAGCCACCUUAAAUUUUCUGAUACGCCAUGAUUGUCUUCCUCAACUUCACUUUGAACCUGCAAAUUAAUCAUAUCUUAAUUCAUCCUAACAUAUAAAUAAGAAGAAAAUUAAAAGAGAAAUACGUUAUUCAACAACAUAUACCUUGAAGCGUAGCCAUUGAAUGAAAGUGCUAUUGUGCUUAUCCUGCAGCCACUUUGUUCUCUUUCUAAAUUUUGGAUAAGCAGUCUUGAUGUGGAUCAUAUGUUGCCUACAUGACACGAAAAAUUCAAGCAUUACGGUCCCAAAUAUAUAAGAUAAACAUAAGAAAUAAUUUUAAAUGGAAACUUAAAGAAUAAAACUCAUACGUACUCGAUAUAACUUCACUAAUGCCGAUAACUUCGUGUACUUUCUACAACCAGGGUACACUGGUUGAUCUCCAUCCCCAAUCACAUUGGCAAACUCAUACGGAUCCGAACCAAAAUCACCAAAAUCAUUAUCAUCCAUAUCAAUUUCUUCAGACACAAAACUGUACCUACUAUGGCCAUCAUCUUCUUCAACAUUUCUGCUAGCAUUAGUAGUUGCUUCCCAAGGUUCUCCGUGAAAUGUCCAAUUCUUAUAGCUUUGGUCAAUUCCAUUAAAGUAUAAGUGAUCCCUUAUAAUUCCAACCCCAAACAACUUCAAAUUAACACAUUUAACACAUGGACAACGGAUAUGUGUUGUAGUUAGAAGAUUUUCUACAGCAAAGUUCAAAAAUGCUUCCACCCCAAACUCAUAUGCCUUCGAUCUUCUAUCCGAGUGCAUCCAUGACUUAUCCAUCUCCGACACUAUAACCUAUUAUCUAUAAUAAAGUGAAAAUACAGGCAAUGACCAUCACUAUAGCAGAUUAUACAAUGAUCUAAUCGCAAGUAAUAAACAACAGAGACGACGGGUUUUAAUCAAAAACAGACGUAUUUGGCAUAUAUAGACGACGGAUUUUCAACAGACGUCGUCUAUUAUACGUAAUACAAACGACGGUUUAUGAAAAAACCGUCGUGUAUAAGUAAUACAACGACGGUAGUUUAAAAACACCGUCGUGUAAUCGUCGUCGUACGCCUUAAAAUUCGUCGUGUCUCAGUUUAUUUUCAAGAACACAAAACCCAUUAAGAACACAACAUAUAUAUGAAACCAAGCAAGAAACCAACANNNNNNNNNNNNNNNNNNNNNNNNNNNNNNNNNNNNNNNNNNNNNNNNNNNNNNNNNNNNNNNNNNNNNNNNNNNNNNNNNNNNNNNNNNNNNNNNNNNNNNNNNNNNNNNNNNNNNNNNNNNNNNNNNNNNNNNNNNNNNNNNNNNNNNNNNNNNNNNNNNNNNNNNNNNNNNNNNNNNNNNNNNNNNNNNNNNNNNNNNNNNNNNNNNNNNNNNNNNNNNNNNNNNNNNNNNNNNNNNNNNNNNNNNNNNNNNNNNNNNNNNNNNNNNNNNNNNNNNNNNNNNNNNNNNNNNNNNNNNNNNNNNNNNNNNNNNNNNNNNNNNNNNNNNNNNNNNNNNNNNNNNNNNNNNNNNNNNNNNNNNNNNNNNNNNNNNNNNNNNNNNNNNNNNNNNNNNNNNNNNNNNNNNNNNNNNNNNNNNNNNNNNNNNNNNNNNNNNNNNNNNNNNNNNNNNNNNNNNNNNNNNNNNNNNNNNNNNNNNNNNNNNNNNNNNNNNNNNNNNNNNNNNNNNNNNNNNNNNNNNNNNNNNNNNNNNNNNNNNNNNNNNNNNNNNNNNNNNNNNNNNNNNNNNNNNNNNNNNNNNNNNNNNNNNNNNNNNNNNNNNNNNNNNNNNNNNNNNNNNNNNNNNNNNNNNNNNNNNNNNNNNNNNNNNNNNNNNNNNNNNNNNNNNNNNNNNNNNNNNNNNNNNNNNNNNNNNNNNNNNNNNNNNNNNNNNNNNNNNNNNNNNNNNNNNNNNNNNNNNNNNNNNNNNNNNNNNNNNNNNNNNNNNNNNNNNNNNNNNNNNNNNNNNNNNNNNNNNNNNNNNNNNNNNNNNNNNNNNNNNNNNNNNNNNNNNNNNNNNNNNNNNNNNNNNNNNNNNNNNNNNNNNNNNNNNNNNNNNNNNNNNNNNNNNNNNNNNNNNNNNNNNNNNNNNNNNNNNNNNNNNNNNNNNNNNNNNNNNNNNNNNNNNNNNNNNNNNNNNNNNNNNNNNNNNNNNNNNNNNNNNNNNNNNNNNNNNNNNNNNNNNNNNNNNNNNNNNNNNNNNNNNNNNNNNNNNNNNNNNNNNNNNNNNNNNNNNNNNNNNNNNNNNNNNNNNNNNNNNNNNNNNNNNNNNNNNNNNNNNNNNNNNNNNNNNNNNNNNNNNNNNNNNNNNNNNNNNNNNNNNNNNNNNNNNNNNNNNNNNNNNNNNNNNNNNNNNNNNNNNNNNNNNNNNNNNNNNNNNNNNNNNNNNNNNNNNNNNNNNNNNNNNNNNNNNNNNNNNNNNNNNNNNNNNNNNNNNNNNNNNNNNNNNNNNNNNNNNNNNNNNNNNNNNNNNNNNNNNNNNNNNNNNNNNNNNNNNNNNNNNNNNNNNNNNNNNNNNNNNNNNNNNNNNNNNNNNNNNNNNAAGUGAUUUUAUGACUCAUCAAAACAAUUUGUUUGGAUGGUCAUUUUAAAUUUUGUAUUCAAAAUGAAUUUUCAAGGUUUAUGUGGAAGAAAAUAUAUCAAUGACUUCAUAGGAGUUGACUUUUCAAUUUUCUGAUUUAUUUUAAAUUUAUUUUGAAUAUUUUGAUAUAAAAAUAAUAAAAUAUUCUUACCACAACAACAAACCACGUCGGUGUUAAUAAAUUGUAGACGUUGUAAAUUGUAAUAGACUACUAAGUCGUUAAAAUGACGUCGUUAAAAUGAGAAACCAUGGCGGCUAUUUAACUAUACGACGUAAAAUAUAUAUAUCAACGACUUAACCGCUGUCGUUACAUAAACGUCGUCGAUGAUACCCUGAACCCUUAAGAAAUUGAAGAUGUUGUAAACCAUAAACGACUCAAUUGUUCAAAGAACGUCGUCUAACUAUAUUUUUACGUCGUAAUUGUUUAAAACACGAAACAACAAAAUACGACGGUUUGUGACUUUAUUAGGUCGUUGGAAAAGUAUUACACGUCGGUUAAGCAAUUUGUAUGUUUGUUUUUUUUUUAAUUUAAGAAAACCUCAACAAAUUUUUACAUUACAUAUUAUAGAGAAAAUUUGUACAUUAUACAUAAAUAUCAAGUGUUCAAUAAUUGCCCUGUUUAAUAAUUUGGAAAACAAACUCUGCCCAUUCAUUCCGGACUUCAUCAAUGGCUUCUUGGGGGUAUGAAGCUUCCUGGUUUCCCUUGGCAUACUGCAUAAACAAUGACUAUUAGGGUUUAUAAAUAAAAAGAAAUUCAAUCACAGACGACGAUAUUUUUCAUAACCGACGUAGUAUAUCCAUUCAACGACGUUAAUUUUACAUGACCGUCGUUGAUAAUACAAAAAACGACGUGAAAUGUAUGAAGGUAAUUUCUUCUUACCUUAUUCUCAAACCCCAAGGAAGGAUCCAUGAUGAUGUCCCUCAUGAAGCGCAUCACAUAAUACCCGCAUUCGACAUUGCUGGGUUGCUUUGGUGUGCCUGAGAGAGUUUUCCAAAUUACAUUUUUACGUCCUGCUCGGCCUAUGUGGGUAUUAUAUAUUUUUAAAGCACUGUUCACGAUGUUUUUCGCCUCUUCGUCGACCACACGAUGACCUGGCAGAGGAUCCAGAAAAUAGACGGUCUCCUUCUUUGCUCUUACAAUCAGCAGGAUCCAAUGACGGCUGCACAAAAUUAAUAUAAAAACGACGGUUAUUUACAAAAACGACGUAUUAUAGUAUUUCACACGACGAAAUAAAGUAGAUAACGACGACAUUAUAUAUUUAUCACGACGACAAAUAAAUACCGACGUGGUUAGUAGUUUCAAACGACUAAAUAAAAUAAAACACCGACGUGGUUAGUUUAUAAGCUGUCAUUUAUUGAAAAUCAUAAAAACAAAAUCCUAAGGAGACUAACCCUGGAUUGUAAGGCAUCAUGAAAAGCUGUUCACCGUCUGUCUUCUGAAGUCGAGCUGCUACCAGUCGUGAUCUUUCAGUUAUUGUGCCAGAGUUGGCACUAACUGUAGCAGGGUCAAUAAAGCCAACCAUGCUGCACAUAUUGGCUUGUUUCAAAACAUCGUGUAAGUACCUAAAUACAUAAAAUAAUAUAAACAAGUCAGCACAAACAAACACGACGGUUAUGUAUAAAAAAACGACGUAUUAUAAUAUUUCACACGACGUACUGAAAUAGAUGAGGACGUUAUAAUAUAUUUAUCACGACGGUAGUUAGUUAAGACGACGUGGUUAGUUAGUUAAGACGACGCAAUAUAUAAACCAACGAGGUAUUAUUUUAGAAGUACAAACCUCAUAUAUACAGCCAAUACAGUAGCUCCAAUUUCUUCCAUGCCUGCAAAUUGUGUAAUAUCUUCAGGCAGGAGGAAGGUAUCGCGCUCACCACCAAACACCUCCUUAUCAAUUGUAAAUUGGAGUGUCUUAUCCUCAGGCAGGAGUGUCGUUUCCACAAAACGACAAAGGGUUUUUAAAGAAGAUGGCGCCUCCAUAUUUGAAUAAGCACCAACUUCAAUAACCUGUUUAAAGAAAUAAAAAAAAUGACGUGGUAAUUCAAUAAAGACGACGGUUUAAGUAAUAAAACGUCGUCUUAAAAGUAUUUAAACGACGGUGAAAAAACUGUCGUGGUAAUUCAAUAAAGACGACGGUUUUAUGAAUAAAGCGUCGUCUGAAACCAUUUAAACGACGGUGCAAAAACCGUCGUUUAAAUAUUUUAUUACGUCUUAAAAAAAUUCCGCCGUCUAAGUUUUAAACAAACGACGGAUUAAAUAAAAAUAUCGACGUCUGAAAUUUUGAAAAACAAAUAAAAAAGGCAAAGUUAUGUGAACAUACCUUGUCGUCAUGCUUUUCUUCAUCUUCUUUCUCCUUUUCUUCUUCCUUCUCUUCAUCUCUUUUUUCUUCUUCCUUCUCUUCAUCUGGCUGAUGUUUCCCCAUUUUGGCAGUAUCAUCCUCCAAAUGUAGGGAUCUCACAUAACCUCCAGAGCAGCUAGCUUUGUCAGACAUUGGAUUUUUGGGGCUUUGGCUAAUUCUUGGUUUAAGCAUGCUUGGAUCAAAAUUGGGAAUUAAUUGGGAAAGCUGACUCAGGAAAUGCUCCCUCUCAGCCUCUACCAAUUGUUUUGUCCUAGCCUCCAUCCUUAAGGCCUCUUCCCUUGCCUUAGCCUCCAUCUUUUUAGUCUCUUCUUGAAGGAGAACUCUUAAACUGUCCUUCAAACGGUCGUCAAAGCUCACCCUCUGUGGUUUGGGCAAAUUGAAAUAUUGCCUUGGGGAAACACCAGCACCAACUCCCCUCAGUCUGCCUGGAUGCUCGGGGCCCAAAGCCAUGGUCAGCACAUCAUUGCUGCCAUCUACUCUGACUUUGCCUUCCGAGACUUGUUUCUGCAAUUCAUCCUAAAAAAAGAUAAACAAAAAAACACACGACGGUUAUUUAUGUACAAACGACGUAUUAUAUAAUUUCACACGACGCAAUAACGUAUAAACCGACGUUAUUAUAACUUAUCACGACGGUAGUUAUACCGACGUGGUUAUUUAUUUAAAACGACGAAAUGAAUAAACAACCGACGUCUUAUGCUAUAAUUAAAGAUAACAGAGUAGUGAUUCCUAUUUAGACCGUUAACGACGUUUUUAAAAAAUUUUCGACGUGGUAAUAUCAUUCACACGACGCGAAAAUGAACCACCGACGUCUUAUGCUGUAAUUACAGAAAACAUAGUAGUGAUUCCUAUUUAGACCUUUAACGACGUUUUUAAAAACUUUUCGACGUGGUAAUAUCAUUCACACGACGAAAAAUAUAACAUACGACGUAAUAAGAAUAAUUCACAGUUUAAUAAAAAUUUAAAACAGAGUGAUAGUAGGCUUACAAUUAAUUUUGCUUUCUCUGCCACCUUUGGAUCAGGGAUGUUACCAUGUUUGUCCUGUCUAGCUCUCUUCCAUAAGGUAGAUCGAUCAAUUUCUACCCCAGGCAUGGUUUCCUCCAAUUGAUCCUCCAAUCCAGCAUAUCCUUUUCGAGACAAUCGAUGAUUGUACUCGAGUUUCUCCCUAAUCUGUGCAUGUUGAGAAUGCACAGACUCAAAAUCUUUGGAUAGCCUUGAAGCUACAAAGGCAUCCCAUUGUGCUUUCUCUAUGAAUUUAUAUGUUUCAGGGGGUUGGCUUAAUUUCUCCCUGUCAUUGGUGUAUGGAAGGAUAUAAUGCCUCGUUAGUGUAGACUUGAAAUCCUUCCAUUUCUUGGAAGCAGAAGCUAAAACAGAGGUCUUGCCCCCUUGGCCUACGACAAAAGCCAUGUCAACUGCUUCCCAAAUCUGCUCCUUUAUAUCCUUGGGGAUUUGGGACCAUUUCUUGUCCACAAGUGGGAUCCUGGAGCGUGCCAACACACCAAUAUACGACUGCAUCUCAAUAUGUGCUUGGCCAACACCUUUCCCCCUUUUAUUGUACUCAACAAUUGGCCUCAGUUUCUGAAGCUUUCUCUUCACAACACGAGGCAUUGUGCUCAUACCUCGACCAGUCUUUGAAUCAUCUGAGAUUGUUGUCUGGCUGGUUUGUUCUGUCUCAGCAGAUGAUGAAGCAAACUUCAUCUUCUUCGAAGACUUCAUCUCCUUCGAAGACUUAUCUUGAGGAGCUACCAUUCCAAGCUUCUUGGAGCCAGAAUCCUUAGUUUGUUGUUGAGAAACCAUUUUAACAGACAAAACUGCAAGUGAAAAUAUUUCAGGAAAACAUUAAGAACACAAACGACGGUAUUAAAAAAAUACGACGUAUGAUAUGAUUUUAGACGACGCAAUGAAAUAAUCUCAGACGUAAUAAAUGUUUAAAACCAUUAUUUAUAUAACGUCGUGGUAUAUAUGUUCACACGACGUCAAUAGUAAUACACCGUCGUGGUAAACUAUUAUUUAUAUUUUAUCGUCUAUAUUAGAUACCAACCCUAGUUUCUUUUUCUUUAUAUUUUAUCAAAUAAGGGAAAAACAAAAACCAUUGUUCAGCGAAAUCAAACCUGCAAUUAAACAAGCAUAUAAAAAAAGACUAUUAUUUUAAAAACAACUUUGUCAAUUUUCAGACGACGCUAGAACAACUGACGAACCGUCGUGGUCUACCGUCGUCUUAUUUAGUUGAUGUAGUUGUCUUCAAAGUUGGAAACUUUCUCUCUUUGUCUGUAUAUUUUAUCAAACUUGGAAAGAAGUAAAAUGAUUUUGGCCAGAAAAAAGGUAAAAAGAUUUUUCAAACAAAAAACGUAUGAGCAUGCAAAACAGUAACCAAAAUAGUGAAAAUGAAAGCUUACCUUUUGCGUGCAAUGAAAGCAAGAGGAAGAUGAUCGAUGUUUAAGUUCAGAGACGACGAAGAAGACGAGAGGAAGACGAUGAGAAACUCUGACAAUGCUCUGACAAGGAAAAAAGACGAAAAGGUUUCUCUGGGAGAUUGAAAUUUUUAAUCGGGUUUGGAAACAGUGCAUGUGUAAGUCGAAAAGUUGCUUACAUAUAAAACCAUUUCAAAAAAAUAAUACGGCGGUUACAUUUAACUACGUCGUUUUUAACUAAAACGACGCAAUAUUUUUCAUUCGACGUGGAAUCAUUUCAUUUAACGUCGUUAGGUUUAAUAUAACCGACGUGGAUUUUAAUUUUUAAAUUAUGAAUAGAAUUUUUUUUCCCGUGACCUUUCAGUUUAUUUUUCAAUUACAGUGCGUUAUAAAUAGAGUUUUUUUUCCGGAGGAAAUUUAAAACGAAGGAAAUUAAUAUUCUGCAAUAUGUAAAGUUUCUUUUUUGGAUGACAGAUUUAAAUAAAAUAAAAAUAUAAAAACAACAAAUGUGUAAGUCAAGUAGACGAAAAGUUGCUUACAUAUAAAACCAUUUCAAAAAAAUAAUAUGGCGGUUACAUAUAACUACGACGUAUAAAUUACAAAAUACGACGGUACAUUUAACUUCGGACGUGGUAAAUAAAUACGACAGUAGUUUGUAGGUACCGUCGUAGUAAACUCAAAAAUUAAAGUACAUAAGUAAUAACUCGCGUCAUGGUAUAUUAUUUAACACGUCGUUUUUAUUAAUUUACCGACGUGGAUUUCUGUAAUAUACGUCGAUCAUACCGACGUUGAUUUUACAAUUUAAACGGCGGUUUGUUUGUAAGGACCGCCGUUGGUUUUAAAAAUUUAUUCUAUAAAUUUGUCGCUUUCAUUCAUUUUCGGUUUACAUUUAAGGUUCCAAGUUCUUCCUCUCUCAGUCUCUCAUGUCUCAAAGAUAAUAAUUUGGAUGUUUUCUCAAAGAGAAAUUGAGCUUACUCGCAUCAAAUAUAUGUCCACAAGAAGAAGCUUGUCAACUAGCCUUCUCACUUCCUUGAUCAAGCCUGAUAGGACACUUAGUGCUUCUGAAUACUCCUUGCUUUCCAUCAAAAGAGAUGCAAGCCUGGCCUCCACUCGCUGUCGAAGGAAAGUUCGCUUCUCAGGGAAAUCUGAAGAUCAGAUGUGCCUGAUCCUCUGCUUGAUUUUCUUGCCUAAGAAGAUCCGUCGGAUUUAUUGUGAUAGCCUCUUCCUUUAUCCGUAGAGCUUCAGAAGAAGAAGAUGGGUUUCAAGAAUGCGAUAAAGAAUAGAAAUGGCUUCAGAUGGCCUCUAAAGCAUGAGCAAUUGAAUCAGUAGUUUCUGGGAGAUAUGAUGAAGACAUUGUCAAUGCUUUGAACUACACAAGUCCUGCAGAAAGAUAUGUUAAAGAAACUGAAACAACGGCGGUUUUCUGUUCUACCGUCGUCUUUUCUCGUCGUCUAUAUUAAGUUACGAUGGCGGUAGAUUUAUAAUUACCGACGUAGAUUAUUUUGUUAAACGUCGUUAAGUGUACUACAACCGACGUGGAUUUUAAUUUUAAAUUAUAAAUGGAGUUUUUUUUCCCGUAUUCUUUCAGUUUUAGUUUUCAAUUCCAAAGCGUGAUAAAUAGAUUUUUCUUUCCCGAGGAAAUUUAAAAUGAGGGAAAUUAAUGUUCUAGAAUUUGUAAACUAACACGACGCAAUAUUUGCAAAUCUGUGUCAUCUGUUAAGAUUAUGAUGUGGAACAGAGUUCCAUCUGGUAAGAUUUCGUAACCCUUGGGAUCUCAGACAAAACUGAUUAUGUCGGCGGUGUUCUAUAUAAACCGUCGUGGUUAUUUCAAUUCUUGUCAUUAAGUAGAUCUACCGACGUAGGAUAAGAAAAUCAAAGAAAAAAAUUGUUAACAAAAAUUCUUAUUAAGACGACCGUUAAAAUUAAAGGUACGACGUAUAAAAUGAAUAAAUACGACGAUAAAUUUUAUUGUACGAUUUAAAGAUAACGUAGUAGAACUAUACGAGAAUGACGUCGAUAUAUUUAUAUUUUCCGUCGUUGUAAAUUAAUUUAAUACGGCGAUAUUUUGUAUUUUAAAGCCGUGGAUUUGUUUGUAAUUAUACGGCGUCUUAUACGAAAACCUCGUCGUGUUAUUUUAUGAGUAAAAACGGCAGUUUUUAUUGAAAUCGUCGUCUUUACUUUCUACGUCGGUCGAUUCAUAACUUCUGCCGUUCUUUGUUGGCAUUGAUUUUACACUGAGGAAAUCUGUUUCAAAUAGACGUCGGUUGUUUAAUUAUGUACGUCGUUGUUUUUGAACAGCCAUUUGAAACUCCAUUUUUUAGUUGUCUAAGGUUGUAUUACACGACGGUGUUUUUAGAACCGUCGUCUUUUUAUAAACCACGACGGUUUUCACUUAGACCGUCGUUGUUUUCUGGUCGUCUUUUUCACUUUUUGUAGUAGUGAUAGCUACCCUCAGGAUGACAAAACAAGCUUAUUUACAUGCCCUGGCGGGACGAACUAUAAGGUUGUGUUCUGCCCAUGAAGAAGCAGAUACAUCUUCUAGUUUAUAAUAUCUAUGAAUAAGUCUGAUGCAAUAAAAUUAGUUUGAGGGCUUUGUCAUCAGCACAUGUAAUGGUGUGCAUUAUGUAAAACAAAGUACCUGUACUCUCUCACUCGGUUCAGACAUCAUAACGAAAUGAAAGUCUCAGUUUUUCAUUUUCUAUUGAGUAGCACCAUCUUUAAUUUCGAUCUAUUCCAUGAAAAAUGACUGAAAAAUAAAGUGAAACUCUUACGAUCAUCAGUCAUGCUUUAUUUUUCUUAAUGCUGGGGGAUUUUGCUUCAUAUAUUACCUAAUGAAUGUGAAAAUUUGGUUACCUACAUUCGAAACUAAUGUUGAAGCUCAAUGGUUUAUUAAAAAAAGGCAUAUCUUCAGUGGCCAUUCCUAGUAAAAGUAUUCAUAUAUGAAAAAGAGACCUAUAAAUGGAAAACAAUUCAGGGUGUCAGAUGCUUGAGAUCUUUAGGGAAGUUUCCUUUAGGGCCGUUUGAUAUAAUUAUUUCAAUUUUACUUUUUAGUUUUAUUUUUUGUGCUAGAGUAGUGAGGGGAAAAGAGGGAGAAUGGAAGUGAGAAUGAGAAUGAAGAUGG